rnacentral:lncRNA from 1 species
CAAAGUUUACACAUUUGAAUUGCUAAGCUCAAUAUCUUGCAAUAUCUAUAUCCUCAGUGUUUUUUAUUGAAAUGAGAAGAGGUUUACACACCAAAGUUCUUAGGAUAUCUUGCAAUACACUUCUGCAAACUUCAGGGUUUUUUAUUUAAAUGAAAAGAGGUUCUUAAUAUCCAACAUCUAGUCUUAUAGGAAGAGAAAUAACUGAAAGUGCAUACCUUCCUAUAUUACAGAGGUCAUACUCAGUGACGAUAUUAAAGAUAUCAAACACAUGGGGAUCAUACCUCUUGAUCAUGUCCUAUGUUCAGUGCUGGGAAUAUAGGCGGCCAGAUCGUCAUAACAGGAGAGAUGCGUACAGCCACACUUGCACACUCAUGUUCAUCUGCCAUCCUCUGAUACACCAUCUUAACCACCCUGCUACUGGGUUGAACAUAAAAGAUAACACCGCUUGAUGGAUGAUCCAAGAACACAAAAUCAGCAUUGUCUCCGACGGCAGCAACAUUAAGAUAUUCACAAGGCACCCAACUGUCACCCGCAAGACGUGCACAUGCUUCGAGAACAGAAAACGUGUCCACCAAGAGCCAACCGCCUGCACCAUGGUUGUCACCUGUCAUCCGAUGAAGCCACACGCUGAGCUGAAACCGGUCCGCAGUGACAAGAUAGAUCCCGGAACCCUCCACGGAUGAGAGCAUGUAAUUGUACCGCACUCCAGCUGGUAGCUGUAGUAUCACGAACGUUGCCGUGGCCAAAUCUAGACCCAGGGUGUACCCAAAGCCGGUCACCACGAAGACCUUGCCAUGGACGGGUGGUAGCAUUUUUGCAAAGAAGGUUGCAGCAUACUGGAGCUCUAUCUCUGUCAUGGCGGUGGUAGGGACGCCCCAUCCGCCGGAUCCCAGCACGUACACCUCCGCACGGACUUCUCGCUGGACCUUCCACAGAUUCACCAAGGUGAUGCCGUCGCGCCCCCCAUCCUCGGGCAGGAAAAUCUGAGUGAAUGCCCCCUGGGUGGGCUCCUGCGGGUGACGGCGGGUCGGCGGGAUCGGUGGGAGGGCCGCUUCGGGCUCCCCGGAGAGCAGCGGCGCGAGGACGGAGUGCUUGAAUGUUCCCUUGCGGAGGGACUCGACGAUGAGACGGCCGUUCCGGCAGUGCUCCAUGCGCUGGCCUCCGCGGGCGAAGGCGUGGGCGCAGGAGGAGGCCGCGCGGCGCGAGAGGGCGGCGAGCUCCGGGGGCUGCGGGAGAGGCACGAACUUGAACGGUCUCACCGAGUAGCCGGCGCAGACGCCGAGGACGCGGGGCGGGUUGCGCUCGCGGAAGCGGCGGAGGAAGGCCGGGUCGGAGGCGUGGUGGAGCCACCCCUUGGAGACGAGGGCGGCGCGGACGAGGAAGUUGGGGAAGCCGAGGCGGAUGAGGAUCUCGCGGAGGAGGUCGUCGUCGCCGAGGACCGACGCCGCCGAUGCGGCCGCGGCCGCCGCCGGAGCCCGCCCGUCGCCGUCCAUAUUUUUGGGGAUUUUCAGACGGAGAGGGAUUUCGUCGCAGAUCUGGUGACUCUGCAGAGUCGCCCUCUGCCGUCCAUACACGCUGCAGAACUUUAGCCCACCACAUCUGCCGUUCAAUCCAGAUCUGAUGGCAGAGAUGAGGCGAAGGCAAAAAAAAUCAGGACUUGUUUUUUUAGAGCAAGCAAAUUGCAUAUCGUAAAUUUUUUAUUUUUUUAAGGCAUAGGGUUCAGGCAAGCUCCCACCACAGCCGAUGAGAAGCAAACCUACUCAAACUUAAGCACACACAAAUACAACUCCAAUGCAUCAAAGAAUGUCCCAACCAGACCAACAAAAAUGUGUCUCAACCAACUCCAGCUCACCUUCAAAGAGCAACAACUCUAAACGAACUAUCCUUUCCGACGCACCAACCACCCUGAUUGUCUAAAAGAGUUGACGGGUGGGUCUCGGGACUAAGACAGCUCCGAGAAAGUCAUCGUCUUGAACUCACCCGCAAUGACGUCCCUAGCACCCCUCACAAGCAAUCUAGAACAACGGCAGGCACCAAAGGAAUGCAACAUAGAACCUCCAACUCGUGUCUCCAUAAAUAAUGCUCCCAAUGGAGGAACGACAUCGAGGACGCCACCAUUGUCGAUCUGAAACUAAACCUAGGCUUUCACGCGGAGACAACCAACCAAGUGAGAGAGACAGAGACACACCACAUCGGAACCUUCGUUGAGGGGACGACACCAACAAGCAUCGUCGUCGUUGGCACCAACCGAAGACGGGUAGGACGUUCGUCUAAAUCGUCGUACACAUGCAUCCCUACCCACCGAAAAUCAAGCACGCCAUCCAUGUUGGUUCGCUCUGCCACCAUCGCAACACCUCACCAAUGAAGCCACAUUGUCACGCGCCACCAACACCACCGUCGAAAAUGGCAAACACCUCCAUGUUGAGUUGUUGGCGUUACCACCUGGACCACCAUGGUGUUUGGUGGUCGCCGAGGCCCAACUUCACCAAGAUUGUCGGUAGCCACGGACCAAGCCAUACCGAGUAGAUCCAAAUCCAAACUGGGCAAGCCUAGGACCCCUUACCGAUCACUAUCGCCGCUGAAACUUCGUUACACCUUGCUGGUAAGCUCUCCAGCGGAAGGAAGUCACACCACCACCAGACGCGGAGCCACUACUCCGGUCGACGCCCAUCCAAACCCACCCGCAGCAAGACGGAUCUGGGCGGAGGAGGCGUGACUUAGGUGGGUGCAGCCACUACUUUCCCUUCCACGAAGGAGCUACAACUUGGCAAGAAAACCCAGUUCAGGAGACGAUGAUAUGCUAUGCCAUCAUGACUUCGACGGCGUUUCAACAAACAUGGGUAAAAAAAUUCCAAUGAGAACUGCUAAAAUGCAGCGCGCGCACACCGCUCCAGCAGCGCGCGCGACUCGCCAGGGCAUUGCAUAUAUGACAUUUUGGACACAAAAUAAAGUUGAAACAUUCAAAAUGCGAUGAACAUGACAUAUAAAAUUUCACACAAACAAGUUGAUGAAGAAAAGUUCAUGCCCACAAGUUCAAAAUCAUGCCCACAAGUUCAUCCAACCAAGUUCAAAAUGCAAAUCAAGUUCAAGACACAAAUGAAAGACACAUCAUUCCUCGUCCUCGUCUUCGUCCUCGUCCUCGGAAGACGAUUCUUCCGCCUCCGAAGAUGAAUCUUCCUCCCUCUCCUCAUCGCGCACCGCAUCACGUGAAGCUCCGGUGGUGUUGGCAAGAUUUUCAACGGCAUCUUCAUGGGAAUGUGUGUGAGGAGGCACAUCGAAAGACAUUCCGCCCAUGGCGGCCGGAGGUGCACCCAUGCCUUCAAUGAGAGAAGCAAAACUCAUGCCUCCCACGAUGGCCAUAGCGUCAGGGGGUGCUCCAAAGCCACCCAUGCCUCCCAUGGUGGCCAUAGCAUCGGGGGGGGGGGCUCCAAAGCCACCCAUGCCUCCCAUGGCACCUAAACCGCCCACGGUACCUCCGAAGCCACCCAUGCCACCCAUGGCGCCGAGGCCACCGCCACCCAUUGCACGAACCAUGGCUCUUUUUUGGAUCAAGACUUCUUCACGGGCAAGAUUGACAUACUCCUUUUGCGCCUCAUUGAGGUUAGAUGUGUCCAAGAAAAACAAGUGCUUCUCCCAUUCCAACAAUCUAGUUCGCUCCUUAUUGCUCACCUUCCUCUCCUCCAAAGCCACCUUCCUCUCCCCGGCCGCCACCCUCCUCUCAUCGGCCGCCAACCUCCUCUCCUCGGCCGCGCGCGGCAUCUUGGUUCCUUACCAUUGUCCUCACCUCGUUGGCUUCUUUUCUUGCCUUCACAAUAGCUUCCAUAGCAUUUUUUAGCUUAUCAUCUCCUUUCCUCUUCUUCUUUUCAGUUUUGUCUUUCUUGCACCCAUCCGGUCGCUUUGGCUUCGAGUAUGAAACCGAGUUGGGUGUGGGGCUUCUCUUGCCGUCAUCACUUGAUGCAUCAUCCUCCUCAUCAUCAUCAUCCAACUUAAUUGUUCGCUUGCGUUUGUUGCUCAAAUGCAAAUCAUCCAAAUCUUCACGCUUCUUCCACUACAAAAAAAUACACUUCCGUGAUGAUACAUGUUUGUCACAGUAGGUCACAUUUUUUGUCAUGCAUGUACAUCCAUGACAAAUUUAUGACAGAAUCGAGAUAGUCAUACCUGUGCUGUCAUAGAAGUGUUCCAUGACAUUACCAAAAAUAUCAUCACGGAAGUGUCCACUUCUAUGACGAUAAAUCGUGCGUCACAGAAGUGUUUUCGUCAAGGGUGACCGACACGUGGCAUCCACCGUAACGGAACGCCGUUAAGCUAUCGGGUCGGGUUUUGGAUCCGAUAACCCGUUAACAGCCCCGACCAAUGGGGAUUUUCCACGUGUAAAAUCAUCAUUGGCUGGAGGAAACACGUGUCGGCUCACCGUUGGGACAGAUGUCAUCCGCUCAUUGGACCGAAGGCGCCUAUGAUACGGCGACACGUGGCACGGCCCAACAGAGGCUCAUUCCUAUGAAAAGUCCAGCCCGUUUGACUUGGUCAAAAGGUGGCGGGCCGGCCCACGGAAAGCCUGUUAACGGCCUAUUCGCAUAUAGCCCAUUUACAGCCCGCUAACCUAGGGCCCGUUACGCUCUAUCUGAAUUAGGCCCAGUAGCGUCAUCUGGGCCGUCCAAUAUGAUUCAGCCUAUUUUAACUUCCAGCCCAUGUGUGGCCCAUGACUUCUUUCGGCCCAUAUGAGGAUCUUUGUAACUCUUGGCCCAUUAACGGUCCGUGGUGAAACUGGCCCGUAAUGAACAACGUAUCACUUUAUACCCAUUAACGGCCUGUUAUUCCAUUGGGCCGUUUCCAGCCCAAGUUAUCUUUCGGCCUUCUCAGGGCCCAUUGAUUCUUGAGCUCAUUUGCAGCACUCGGUUACAUACGGCCCGUUACUGUCAUUUUCUGCUUGUGGGCCAAAUUCAGCCCGUCGUUACAGUCGGCACGUUUGCCGACCGUUAAUACGUUGGGCCGUUUUCAUGUCAAAAAAAAUCCGUUGGGCUGUUUUCAUAGAGUUAUCAAAUACGGCCUAUUAACGGCCCGUUAUGGUCCAUGAAUAGUACUGCCCAUGAUUGGCGAAUUGAUGAUACGCCCCGUAGAAGGCCCAUGGAUCCUACGGCCCGUAUGAGGCCCAUGGAUAGUACGGCCCGUAGAAGGCCCAUGGACCCUACGGCCCGUAGAAGGCCCAUGGACCCUACAGCCCAUAGAAGGCCCAUGGACCCUACGGCCCGUAGAAGGCCCGUGGACCCUAAGGCCCGUAUAGAAGGCCCAUGGAUCAUACGGCCUGCAGGAGGCCCAUGGUUACAACAGUCCGUGUGUUGCCAUGAUUAUUUUGGCCUAGUUACCAAAAAUAGGCUAUUGUGGCCACUAGAAAAAAACAGAAAAAGAACUGACUACAAGCAAACAACUAAAUAAGACAAUAAGGAAAUAAAUAAGCAAGCAAUUAACGCUAGCCUAUUACCGCUAUUACACAUGUUACAUCCACUGGGCAUCAAAGUUCGCCACCAGUGCAAAUAUAGGGAACAAAGCAGCACAUUACAUACACUGGCCGUCAAAAUUGGCCACCAGUGCAAAUAAACGCGGCAGCAAAACAAGAGCAUAAUUGAAACAACUUCAGAAGAGCUCAAUAAACGUUAUCCCGGGUAUCCAUCAUGCUGGCAAUAAGCUUAGCAAGCUGAUUAGCUUUGUCCUAUUUGGCGCUAAAAUCCUCCAACGCUUGCUGUUGCACCAGAAAGUAUGCAUCUGAAUGCUCCAGGGACUUCCGCAGUCCUUCCGCUUCUUGUCGCAGCACAGCUGAUCGAUGUCUUUCAGCUUGUAGUUGAGACUCAAGAAACCGAACUAAUUCAGACAGUGAGUUUGAAUAGCUUGUGCAAGCGGUAGUGGCCAGUUACUCGAACACUAAACCAAGACAGGACUUUGGGGUUGUCUCACUGUCUUCAAGAUAGUCUUCCUUAGCUGUUUUAUCAGCUUUGUUGGAGACCAACAAGGAUGUGUCACUAUCCUGAACCUUAUCUGCAUUACUUCCUGAAAGUGCGUUAUAUCGACUAGAGGGGGGGGUGAAUAGGCGAUUUUUAUGAAAGUCUUCAACACAUGGAAGUUUCGAAGAAAAAAGAUAGAAAUAAACCUAUUACCAUGCAGCGGAAGGUAGACUACACUAGGCAAACCAUAGUCAAGUAUUCAAUGAAGUGAAAGCACAUUGACUAAUAGCAGCUAGGUAGUAAGGAUCAGGUAGGAAGAUAUUAUGAAGCCAAUCAGAACAAGCAAUCACUCAGUGAAGACAAGAGAUAGUGCAAUCAUACAAUGACUUCACAAGGACCAACAGUAAGUAAAGGGAAGGGAAGGAUGAAACCAGUGACUCGUUGAAGACAAUGAUUUGUUGGACCAGUUCCAGUUGCUGUGACAACUGUACGUCUGGUUAGGGUGGCUAGGUAUUUAAACCUGAGGACACACAGUCCCGCACACCCAGUCCUGAACACGCAGCUCAGGACACCCAGUCCUCACCAUAUUCCCCUUGAGAUAAGGUCACACAGACCUUGCCCAAUCACUCUGGUAAGUCUUCAAGGUAGACUCCCAAACCUUCACAAACUUCGUUCACCGGCGAUCCACAAUGUCUCUUGGAUGCUCAGAACGCGACACUAACCGGCUGGAGGAUUCACAGUCCUCAAGUGUAAUAAGUCUUCAGAUCACACAGACAAGAAGACUUAAGUGAUGCCUAACACUCUUUGGCUCUGGGUGGUUAGGGCUUUAUCCUCGCAAGGAAUUCUCUCUCAAAGGCUUCGAGGUGGGCUGCUCUCAAACGACAAAAGCCGUACUCUAACUCUGAGCAGCCAACCGUUUAUGGUUGUAGGGGGUGGGCUAUUUAUAGCCACUAGGCAACCCGACCUGAUUUGUCCGAAAUGACCCUGGGUCACUAAGGAACUGACACGUGUUCCAACGGUCAGAUUUCAAACUCACACAGCAACUUUACUUGGGCUACAAGCAAAGCUAACUUGUCCGACUCUGGACAAGAUUCGCUCUCAUAGUCUUCACUUGAAGACAUAGGUUUUGGUUAAGCAUCACUUCAGUCAUUCUGACUGGUUCUCUUGGACCCCACUUAACAGUACGGUGGUUCCUAUGACUCAACAAAGAAGAAACAGAACUACGAAAGAUCUAAGUCUUCGAGCUCCAUAGGCUUCAUGCGAUGUCUUCUCUUGUCAUAGUCUUCAAUGAGAAUAUCUUCAUAAACCACCUUUGACAUCAAUGUCUUCAUACAUUUUUAGGGGUCAUCUCUGGUAGGAAAACUGAAUCAAUGAGGGACUUCUACCUGUGUUAUCCUGCAAUUCUCACAAACACAUUAGUCCCUCAACUAGGUUUGUCGUCAAUACUCCAAAACCAACUAGGGGUGGCACUAGAUGCACUUACAAUCUCCCCCUUUUUGGUGAUUGAUGACAAACUAGUUGAAGUUUUCAACGGGGAAUAUAAUAUGUGAAAUUGUAAAAGGAUAAGGAAUUGUCUUCAUAAGCUGCAAGGGCUCCCCCUGAAGAUGUGCAUAUAAGUGAUUUGCUUUUGGAAUGCAAAUGCACAUGGCAGGUUGUACUUGUGGAGAUCCUCUUCAACUUAUGAUGACAAUUCAUUAUGCAUGUGUAGGUAUGUGAAGAUAAUGACAUGCACAAUGGAAAAUGGACGUCUGCAAAAUGAUCUAAGUGCAGAAUUUACCGUCGCACAUGCGGAAUUUAUCAUCGCAUCACAAAGUAGCAAAUAAGUAGCAGACGACCAUCGAGUUUAAGUGUUACGACUCAAAGAACCAAAUGUAUCAAAACGAGAGUUGUAAACACUAGGCAAAAUAUAAAGCAACCGCCCAUAGGGACCCGCUUGAAGACUAUCAAACUCAUAUGCUUCUCCCCCUUUUGUCAGUAAGGACCAAAAAGGUUUGAAGACAUAGAGCAUCUACUCGUUCCCAAGAUGAGUAGGUGAAGCAGCAGGGUCGUCGGUGGUGUUCGGAGGUGCAGAAGAACUUCGAGCAGUGUCGAAGCGUGCUGACGGAGGUGGCGGUGAAGUAGCAUCGUCUUCGUCCUCGAUCACUCUGGCAUUCACAGUUGCCACAGAGGAAGAGAACUCAGAGUCUUCAAGAGAUGGAGUUCGUCGCAGCACUGCCCUUCGAGGAGGUGUGGAGUCAAACUUGAAGCGUUCAGAGAAGCCAUCCUCUUGAAGAUCAUCUUCAGAGCACAUAAGCGUCAGCCCUUUCCAUGUGCGUCGAGAGGUUUCAUGUGCAACAAAGGCAUUCUUGGUGGCAAGAUUGCGAAUACGGUUGACAUCCACCAAGAGGCUUUGCAUUUGGCGCUUCAGCCAGUCAUGAUGCCUAUCCUGUUUCUGAUGAAGAGCAACCAGAAGCUCUCGGUCAUUGAGAACACGAGUGCGCUUCUUAGGUCGUUGGGCAAUUGUGCUAUCGGUGGCUUCAGUAAGGGCAGGAUGUGGUGCACGUGUAGUUCCAGCCAAAGGAUACACACGAGUGACUGCUUCAACUCCUUCAAUGUUCUGAGAAAAACUUUGAUGCUCCACAUUCUGAAGACUUAGAGGUUCCUUGGCAGGCUCAGGAUAAAUUGCUUCAACAGACAUAUCCACAUCAGGCAGAAAGAUCCGAUGAUUGCGAGCAGAUGGCUGAUAUGAGAUAGCGGAGUGGAGUUUAAUCAGCCGCAUUAUCCAUGGAGCGUAGAACUUCAAGCCAAAAAGAUCAGAGCCUGAUGCAGCAAGUUGGCGGAUGAAGAAGUCCUGUGCAUUGAAGCAUUUGCCAUGAAGAAUAUAGAAGACCAAAGUCUUCAUUGCACCUUCCAGCUUGGCAUGUGGAGAAUGUCCUUUGAUGGGCCAGAGAGUUCGCCUUAUGAUGUGAUAAAUAGUCCUUGGCAGAUACUCAAGGUCUUCAACGAAGAACUCCUUGGGAUAUGCAGCAUCUUGGGGCAAUGGCUUCAUCAUACUGAGCAUCUGACUCAUGUUAGGUUCAGGCUUCUGAAAGAUGCUCUCCACAGCUUCACUGUGAAGCUGACAGCCAUGUUCGUAGAGAUCGCCAGGAGUGGGCAGACCAGUGAGCUCAAUGAUAUCAAAGGCUUUGGCUUCGUGAUGAACAUUUCCUGUCAUCCACUCCAGGACCCAAGUCUUCGGAUCUCUGUUGUACCCACGGAUGUGAAGUGUGGCAUAGAAUUGGAGCAGCAACUCUUCAUUCCAGUGCUCUUGGUCGGUGACAAACGGCAGCAAUCCAACCUCUUUGAAGCAAUCUAGAGCUUCUUCCAGACAAGGCAGACCAGCUAUUGCUUCGAUGUCAAGACGCUUAUGUGGGAAGAUGCGACCUUGAUUGUAUAGAAUGCAGGAGUAAUAGCUUCGCUGCGGAUAGCUCCAGAACCGAUCAGAUGAUAUUCUUUUCCUUGAGUAGGGGUUCCUGGAGCUAUUGAAGAAAGUGUUGUCUGCUUUGAAGCCAUUGACAUUGAAGGAUCCAGGUGUUGAUGCAGGACCUGGAAACCUGGGCAAUCUUGGGAUUGGCUUCUGUACCUGAGGCCUGUGCUCAACAUGAUAGUCAAACUGAGGACCAGCAGUAGGCGCAGGAAUAGAAGCAGUAGUAUCAGUGGCUUCGCUGACUUCUAGUGCUUGGGUUGGUGAAGGCUCCACAUUAGCUUCAGCCAUGACAGCGUCGGUGGCAGCCUCAAGAUUCUCAACCUCCAUUUGAUGAGCUGGAGGGUCGGUCACAGUCACGUUCUCCUCGAGAACAGCUUCUUGGUGAGACGGGGGUGUAGCAGCGCUUGGGGUUUCUUCUUCAUCGGCUGAUGCAGCCGGAAUGUCUUCAGCAGCUUUAGCUUCAGACUCAGAGACUGGAGGCCUUGGUCCUUUGUGAAGCCUGCGUAACGCUGGCGACGCCUGUGGAGUUGGAGUUGGCUAGGCCUCAAAGUCAUCUUCCUCUUGUGCUUGUGGGCGAUUAGCCCAUGAUGCAUCCUGAGCAAUUGGCGUCAGAGGAUGACCAAUGCUGAUAAGUUCGUUGUGCGUUAGCACAGGCGAUAAUACCUGUUGGUGCUCGAGCUGAGGAAGAACUGCAUCAUCUUCAACGUGGUCAUGGUGACCAAUGUCUUCAGCAGCAGUGGGAUCAGCUGCUGGAAAGUCUUCAGCUUCAUGAGCCUCUAUGAAAGCAAGCUCAUGGGCAGUCAGUUGGCACUCUUGAGGUUCAGCGUCAGGGCGAACCAUGAAGAUGGGUUCAACAAUCAAGGGCUCUGUGAGAGCAGCCCGUUCCUUCUUGGUCUUCCGCUUCUUCUUGGAGGGGGCAGUAGCAGAGGCUUCAGGAUGUUUCCUCUUCCUGGCUUCAGCCUCAGCAGUCCUCGUCUUCUUUAGCUCUGAAGCGGUUGACCGGACCUUUGGCUUCGAGCCAGUCAUGCUAGUUGGGAAGAAAAUGGGAUAUGCUUCCUGCCUUGGUGCGUCGGGUUCGGCCACAGUGGGCUUCUUCUUCUACUUGGCAGCCAUCCUGGGAUCAAUGCCCGGACGCCCAAGGGCCUUGUGCUUCUCAGCCUCGUUGUAGCCUUGCACACACUUGUCAGCCAGGCUCUUCAUGCGCUCAUGAGAACCCUGAGCUUCUUCACGCUUCUUGAGAAAGGCUUCUUUAAGCUCGUGCAACAUGAGCUUGAAGUUCUUGACCUCUUGUAUACUGAGCUUGGCCAUAUGCUUCUUGAACUAAGCUUUUUCAUAGUCAAUCUUUUGCUUCAGUUCGAUGAUGCGCUGAGCUAGAGCUAGCUCUGAAGCAAUGGCGCCAUGGAAGGCGACACUAAGGCCAAUGGGAAGUUGCAGAUCUUCGAAGCUGAGGUUGGGCGUGUCAAACCACUCAUCAAUGAAGUUAUGGAUGAUUGCCACGUCAAAGAGAGGCAGAUCAUUGAAGAUUUCUGCUUCAUCUUUGCUCUUGAUGAGUUGCUCAAGAGCGUCAUCUGCAAGAUCUUCAUCACUGGACAGAUCGAUGGCAUCGUUUCGCAGAAUGGCAGCAACUGUCAGUUCUUGGCCGGUGUGUGGCAGAGGCAUCUUGACUUUCUGAGGCUUGGAGAUGCAUGAUAAAUCUUCAGACUGCACACUGUCUUCAGGAGGUGUAGUAGCCAGUGGCUUCGCCUGUGAGAUUUUUGGUGCAGAGGCAGGCUUUGAAGCUUUAGGCUGCUUCAACUUCUUUGGCUUGGGCGCUGCAGGCGCUUCAUCUGAUUCAGCGUCAUCUGCAGGCUCAUUCACGGCUGUCCCUUGAACCACGAUGUGAGUGAUGAGACCUUCCAAGUUGUAGAAGGUACCAAGAAGAUUGGGUUCAGCUUCACGAGUUCCAUCGGCACGGGGAGCAGAGGGACCAGGGUUGAAGUCUAAUCCCAAAGACUUCUUGUUCUGCUUCGCUGAGUUCUGGGAAAACUGGAAGUUGCGCUUAAACAGAUUGUCGUCACGACACCAUAGCAGUGACGAUGGGUCAGCAUCUGCAGGCUGUGGUCCACGGACCAUGUAGGGAUAGAAGCCUUGUUCAAUGGCUUCAUCUCUGGUCCUGGGUUGAAGAUUUUUGUAGAGGAUGUCUCCCCAUGGUCGCUUGAUGGCAUUCUUUUCAGCAUAUUCCUUUGUCACAAAUCUGUACUUGAACCACUGUUCUGCCCAAUAGCGUCGAAUCCAUUGGAUUCGUGUCUUGCGCUGAUUGUAAUCCUCUUCAGGAUCUGUCUUGUACAGCUCUGAGAGGUCAUCGGGCAGAUCUCUUGAUGUUUCUCCUCGACGCUUUCUGCCACCCUUCCUUGCUGAUUUCUCUAAAGCCAUGAACUUUAAAUUAAAUGGCUUCAAUACGUCAAAGGCUUCAAAGGCUUUCGUUUGCUGGACAAACAGGAACUGGCUUCGGGAGAAUUUAUGUGAUACUGUAAGAAUUCUGCAAAUGAAUGCAGACUAUGAGAACCAAGGGAUUCUCCCACGGACAUGUACCUGUGACAGCAUUAAGGUGCGAGGGAAGGGGAAGAGGUCAUAUGCAUUCUCAGAAGAUUUUGAAGAUAAAUCAGUUUAGAAGACAUUGACCUCAUCGUGCGAAGACAUUCACUCAUAGAUAAGGAGUUGGUUCCAGAUUUGUACGAAUCCACGGAUUAGUACAAGUGAGGAAUCUAACUACUUUGUGAAGCAUAAGUGAAUAUACUAGGCAUAUUAUGAGAUGCAGUUGAAGUGGAUCCAACAUGUGUGAACAAAAACCACUUGUGGUAGAAAGUGACGAAUCUAUAGGAUCAAAGGGGCCGUAAAAAGGAAGUUUUAUUUACCACACGUAGAACUGCUAGACGGAGUGGAAGAGGAGGCCGAGUAGUCCGAUCGUCCGUGCCCUAACUUGGCGACGGAGGACACCUACGGCGACGGCGGAGAAGACGAUGUCCGCGGUCGGCGUGAAGACGGCGUCGGAGAGGUUGCGGCAGCUAAGCGCUUCGUCACCGGCGUCGUCGAGGGCUAGCGGUGGCGCUAGGGUUCGUGCGAGAGUGGAAGAAGAGAUAAUGACUGCGGUGAGGCGUGUAUUUAUAGGGACAGGGGCGGCUCAGUGUUAUUACACAGGUGCCCCUGGCGAUUCACAUCUGAGGAACACGUGGCCAUCAUGCAGCAUGUCGGAGGUUGUUCCACGUCCCACGCACGCCUGGAUUGUCGAGGGGUCGUUCCCACUUCUCCGGGUUUCAGGUGAAGGAAUUAGCAUUGAAAGCGGACUUAAUGUUUGUCUCUGUAUCUUCUGCUGACAAGGACACAGAGAAGACAUUUGACAGUUUCAAAGGAAUGCAUAUGAUUUGGAGAGAUAGAGUUUGAGAUAGAAAGCAUAGAGAGGUUAGGGUCCGAUCACAUUCACUUAGUUCAAAAGAUUCAACAAGAAGACAUAGCUAUAAGUGAAUGAUGUAGAGGAUAGAACACUAGUAUAUAUAUAUAUAUAUAAUCAACAUAGCGAAGAUAAUCAUGAAGACAUGUUGAGAUUGAAGCCAAACUAAAUGUGAAGACAUAGCAAAUGUAACGCCAUGAGUGAAACACUUCAAACAGAACCUUUGGUGGUGGCGUUACCCACCGUAUAUGAAGUAUUAGACCCAGACACGGCGCACAAUUAUCGUGGCGCUCCGAAGUCAAAUUCCACAUUAAUGUAUUCACACUUAGAAUGUAUGUAUUCAUUGAUUGAAUAUAUACUUUACUUCGUGUGUUGCACAUCUCAGUCAUCAAUAUGCAUACGUGUUAGGAUGUGUGCCUGAUCACAGGACAUUUGAGGAUUCCAAGAUAUUUAGCUCACACCGUAACUUGCAAAAUCUCUUCUCAUCCAAGGGCUUGGUGAAGAUAUCUGCCAAUUGCUCUCCAGUGUUGACGUGUAUGAUAUCAAUAUCUUCCUUCACAACAUGAUCUCUGAGAAAGUGAUGACGAAUUUCAAUGUGCUUUGUCUUCAAGUGCUGAACUGGGUUGUUGGCAAUCUUGAUGGCGCUUUCGUUGUCACAGUAGAGUGGCACUUGUUUCAGAUGAAUGCCAUAGUCCUUGAGUGUUUGCUUCAUCCAUAGAAGCUGAGCGCAGCAAGAUCCAGCAGCAAUGUAUUCAGAUUCAGCAGUGGAGAGAGAUACACAGUUCUACUUCUUUGAAGACCAACAUACAAGUGAUCGUCCCAGAAAAUGACAUGUGCCUGAUGUAUACUUGCGAUCCACCUUGUCACCAGCAUAAUCAGCAUCCCAGAAUCCAACCAGAUCAAACUCUAAGCCCUUUGGAUACCAUAAUCCUAGAGUUGGGGUGUGAGCCAAAUAUCAAAGAAUUCGCUUCAUAGCUAAGUGAUGCGACUCCUUUGGUGCCGCUUGGAAUCGAGCACACAUGCAAACACUAAGCAUAAUAUCUGGCCUAGAUGCACAUAGAUAAAGUAAAGAACCAAUCAUGGAGCGGUAUACCUUUUGAUCAAACUCUUUACCAUUGUCGUCGGGACCCAGAUGAUGUUUGGCUGGCAUUGGCGUCGUGAAGCCUUUGCAGUCUUGCAUACCGAACUUCUUCAGGCAAUCUUUGAGAUACUUCUCUUGAGAUAUGAAGAUGCCAUUGCGUUGCUGUCGUAUUUGAAGACCGAGGAAGAACUUCAGCUCUCCCAUCAUGGACAUCUGAUAUUGCUCUUGCAUCAUAUAUCCAAACUCUUCACUGUACUUCUGAUUGGUGCAGCCGAAGAUAAUGUCAUCCACAUAUAUUUGGCAUACAAACAGUUCACCAUCAUAUGUCUUCGUGAAGAGAGUGGGGUCGAGGGAACCAGGUAUGAAGCCUUUGCUCUUCAGGAAGUAUUUGAGUGUGUCAUACCAAGCCCGAGGGGCUUGUUUGAGGCCAUACAGUGCCUUGUUGAGCUUGUAUACCAUGUCAGGAUGUUUUGGAUCUUCAAAGCCAGGCGGUUGUGCAGCAUACACUUCUUCUUCAAUCUUGCCAUUGAGAAAAGCGCUCUUCACAUCCAUUUGAUAUAGAAGUAUGUUAUGAUGAUUUGCAUAGGCCAGCAGUAUGCGUAUGGCUUCAAGUCAAGCCACAGGAGCAAAUGUUUCAUCGAAGUCAAUCCCUUCAACUUGAGUAUAUCCUUGAGCAACGAGGCGAGCUUUGUUUCUGACAACUUGACCAUGCUCAUCUUGCUUGUUGCGAUAUAUCCAUUUGGUGCCUAUUAUAUUGUGCUUCCGAGGAUCAGGACGCUUAACCAGUUCCCAUACAUUAUUCAGCUCAAACUGUUGAAGCUCUUCUUGCAUAGCUUGAAUCCAUUCAGGUUCCACGAAGGCUUCUUCAACUUUCUUGGGUUCUGUUAUUGAGACGAAUGCGAAGUGCCCACAGAAAUUUGCUAGUUGUGUUGCCCUUGAACGAGUGAGCGGACCGGGUGCAUUUAUGCUAUCAAUUAUUCUCUCAAUCUGCACUUCAUUGGCAACACGAGGAUGUACAGGGCGAAGAUUUUGCUCUUGCUGAUCAUUGUCAUUGUUAGAGGAAUUGUCUUCAGGCUGAGCAUUGUCUUCAGGUUGAUCAGGUGCGGAGAUGAUAAGUUCCUCUUCAGGUUGAGCUUCAGAGGGUAUGAUUUCUCCAGUUCCCAUAAGUUUGAUUAAUUCACUGGACGGAACUUCAUCUAGCACAUUUGGCAGGUGCUCUCUUUGUGAACCGCUAGUCUCAUCUAACCGCACAUCCACUGUUUCAACCACUUUAUAAUGAAAGAGAUUGAAGACUCUGUAGGAGUGCGAAUCCUUCCCAUAUCCAAGCAUAAAACCCUCAUGUGCUUUUGGUGCAAAUUUUGAAGUGUGAUGUGGAUCCUUGAUCCAGCACCUGGCUCCAAAUACUCUGAAGUAACUGACAUUUGGCUUCUUGCCAGUAAGGAGCUCAUAGGAUGUCUUGUUCAGAAGCUUGUGAAGAUAAACACGAUUGAUUGUAUGGCAUGCAGUAUCAAUAGCUUCAGGCCAGAAUUUUCUUGGAGUCUUGUAUUCAUCUAGCAUCGUUCGGGCCAUCUCAAUGAGUGUUCUGUUCUUGCGUUCGAUGACGCCAUUCUGCUGUGGCGUGUACGGAGCUGAGAAUUCAUGUGUGAUUCCCAAAGUAUCAAGAUAUGUAUCAAGUCCAGUGUUUUUGAAUUUAGUGCCAUUGUCACUUCUGAUGUGCUUUAUCUUGGCGCCAUAGUUGUUCAUUGCUUGAUUGGCGAAGCGUUUGAAGACAUCCUGCACUUCAGUCUUGUAGAGGAUUAUGUGCACCCAAGUAUAUCUAGAAUAAUCAUCAACAAUGACAAAGCCAUAGAGACAAGCAGUAGUAGUAAGAGUUGAGUAAUGAGUGGGACCGAAAAGAUCCAUGUGGAGCAGUUCAAAGGGUCGAGUAGUUGUCAUGAUUGUCUUCGAGGGAUGUUUGGCCCUCAUCAUCUUUCCUGCUUCAUAGGCACCGCAUAAGUGAUCUUUCUUGAACUUGACGCCCUCGAUGCCUAUGACAUGCUUCUUCUUUGCAAGGGUGUGGAGGUUCCUCAUGCCAGCAUGCCCUAGCCUCCGAUGCUAGAGCCAGCAUUCUGAAGCUUUUGCUAGAAGACAUACGGCAAGCUGUGGUCCUGCUGAAAAAUCUACCACGUACAAAUCAUCUUUCCGAUACCCUUCAAACACUAGAGACUUGUCAGAUUCCAUUAGAACAAGGCAACGAUAUUUUCCAAACAUUACGAUCAUGUUCAAAUCGCAAAGCAUUGAGACAGACAUUAAGUUGAAGCCAAGGGAUUCAACAAGCAUGACUUUAUCCAUGUGCUGAUCCUUUGAGAUUGCAACUCUACCUAGACCCAAUACCUUACUUUUACUAGUGUCAGCAAAUGUGAUGUGACUCUUGUCGGAUAGACGUAAGGUUGAGUCCAUAAGAAGGCUUCUUUUGCCAGUCAUGUGAUUGGUACACCCACUAUCAAUAAUCCAUUCUGAAGACGCUGGUGCCAUACCCUACAGUGCAGUUAGGGGGAUAGGCUUCACGAAGAGAAUUGUGAAGCAAAAAUAUUUGACGAACCAGUGGGUUAUGAAAGCUUAGAUCCAGAUUAGGACUGAUAGGGAGAGUAGCAAGCGAUUCAGGAAUGAAGUACAUAGUAAGACCAUUCGGGCAUUUGAUCUUGCGCCCUACAAGAUGUUUAAGGUCCCCAGCAAUAGCGUCAGACGAUUUUGGUUUUCUGCUGGAGACCUUUCCCUGCAAAAGAGAGUUAAGCUUUCUUAGCCACCCACAUCUUCAAGGGUGGCUUAGAAGCAAUAAGUCUAAGUGCAGCGUCUGAGAACUUUGGCUUUGGAGCCCUAGCAAAAAGUCUUGCAGGUGGACAAUAGUACUCAUAAGAAUAAGCAGAAUAGUUCUUGGUCUUAUGAACAUGGCGGUUCGAUGAACCGCACUCAUAUUCAUAGGCCUGAGUAUGGUUUCCCUGUGGUGUCAUGAUGACAUUCACAGGAAGAUUUUCCAAACACUUUUUCGGCACCCAGAUCUUCUUCAUAGGCGGUCCAUUCCUGCAAUUAGUACCAAUGUACCUGGCAAACACUUCACCAUUCUGAUUCUUAAACAGUUUAUAGUUUGCAUCAAAGGAUUUAUCAAUGACAAUGGGGUUAGCACAAGUGAAGCCAGAUAGAGUGGAUGGAUCUGCUGAAGGUUCCUUUGCAGCAACCCAUGUGGUUUUGGGGUACUGAUCAGGUUCCAGUAAGAGCCAUCAGCAUUCAUUUUCCUUACGAACCCAACACCCUCUUCCCUCGGGUUUUGGUUCAAGAUCUGCCUUUUGAGGACAUCACAUAGUGUCUGAUGCCCUUUAAGACUUUUCUACAUCCCUGUUUCAAGCAAUGUCUUCAACCUAGCAUUCUCAUCAGCAAUAGCAGUGGUAUCCUCAGCAGAGGGGUUAGUUACCACAUCAACAGUUGAAGAUAUUGCAACAGUAGCAGCAAUAGAACACUCAGCAACAGAAGUAGCGUUGUCACGCUCGAUGCAUUUAAGACAUGGUGGUUCAAAUCCUUCCUGAGCGGAACUGAUCUGUUCGGCGCGAAGUGACUCAUUUUCCUUUUGAAGAUCUUCAUGAGCCGCUCUCAAUUUCUCAAGAUCUUGCUUCCUUUGAAUAUAAUCAUAGGAAAGCUUUUCAUGGUGGUUCAAAUCCUUCCUGAGCGGAACUGAUCUGUUCGGCACGAAGUGACUCAUUUUCCUUUUGAAGAUCUUCAUGAGCCGCUCUCAAUUUCUCAAGAUCUUGCUUCCUUUGAAGAUAAUCAUAGGAAAGCUUUUCAUGAGUUGUUGAGAGCGUUUCAUGACGACUUUCAAGUUCCUCAUACUUAACGUGAAGAUUUUUUAUGUCUUAAAUUAAGGACUCAGAUCGAGUCAUUUCAGCGUCUAACAGAUCAUCGCUUUUGUCUAACAGUUUUUGAAUAUGUUCCAUAGCUUUCUGUUGUUCAGUUGCAAUUUUAGCAAGUGUUUUGUAGCUGGGUUUUGAACCACAAUCAGAGUCAUCUUCACUAGAUGUUUGAUAGUGAGUAGUGCAUGUGUUUACCUUGGCACCGCGUGCCAUGAAGCAGUAGGUAGGAGUGGAGUAGUCCUUGUCAUUUGCAUCGGUGUCGGUGAUGAAGUCAUUGUCUUCAGUGUUGAAGAUGGACUUGGCAACGUAUGUUGUAGCCAUACUUGCAACGCCAGAAUCGGACUCCUCCUCAGACUACACCUCCGCCUCCUCAGAAGCAGACUCCUCCUCUGAAUCCAUUUCCUUGCCAACAAACGCACGUGCCUUGCCAGAUGAGCUCUUCUUGUGUGAUGAAGACUUUGAGGAAGACUUGGAAGAAGACUUUGAGUAUUUCUUCUUCUUCUUGUCGUCAGAGUCAUAUUCCUUGCUCUUCUUCUUCUUUUUGUUCUCAUUGUCCCACUGCGGACACUCAGAGAUGAAGUGGCCAGGUUUCUUGCACUUGUGGCAUGCUUUCUUCUUGUAGUCAUGAGCAGAAGCUUCAUCAUUCCUUGAGCUUGAUCGUGAAGACUUUCUGAAGCCUUUCUUCUUGGUGAAUUUCUGGAACUUCUUCACAAGCAUAGCAAGUUCCUUUCCAAUGUCUUCAGGGUCAUCAGAACAGCUGUCAGAUUCUUCUUCAGAUGAGGAGACAGCUUUUGCCUUCAAGGCACGAGUUCGCCCAUAGUUGGGACCGUAGAUAUCCUCUUUUCUCAGAAAGCUGAAACUCAUGUGUGUUGAGCCUCUCAAGUAUGUCAGAUGGAUCGAGUGUCUUGAAAUCAGGACGUUCUUGAAUCAUCAGGGCUAGGGUGUCAAACGAACUAUCAAGUGAUCUCAGGAGUGUCUUGAGGACUUCAUGCUUGGUGAUCUCAGUAGCGCCAAGGGCUUGAAGCUCAUUUGUGAUGUCAGUGAGUCGAUCAAACGUGAGCUGGACAUUCUCAUUGUCAUUUCUCUUGAAGCGGUUGAAGAGGUUGCGAAGGACACUAAUUCUCUGAUCUCUCUGGGUUGAGACGCCUUCGUUGACCUUGGAGAGCCAGUCCCAGACUAGCUUAGAUGUUUCCAAAGCACUCACGCGGCCAUACUGUCCUUUGGUCAGAUGACCACAGAUGAUAUUCUUGGUAGUAGAGUCCAGUUGAACGAACUUCUUGACGUCAGCAGCAGUGACACCUUCUCCAGCCUUGGGAACGCCAUUCUUGACGACAUACCAUAGGUCGACGUCAAUGGCUUCAAGAUGCAUGCGCAUCUUAUUCUUCUAGUAGGGAUAUUCAGUUCCAUCGAAGACGGGGCACGCAGCGGAGACUUUAAUUAUCCCUGCAGUCGACAUAGCUAAAACUCCAGGUGGUUAAACCGAAUCACAUAGAACAAGGGAGUACCUUGCUCUGAUACCAAUUGAAAGUGCGUUAUAUCGACUAGAGGGGGGGUGAAUAGGCGAUUUUUAUGAAAGUCUUCAACACGUGGAAGUUUCAAAGACAAACGAUAGAAAUAAACCUAUUACCAUGCAGCGGAAGGUAGACUACACUAGACAAACCAUAGUCAAGUAUUCAAUGAAGUGAAAGCACAGUGACUAAUAGCAGCUAGGUAGUAAGGAUCAGGUAGGAAGAUAUUAUGAAGCCAAUCAGAACAAGCAAUCACUCAGUGAAGACAAGAGAUAGUGCAAUCAUACAAUGACUUCACAAGGACCAACAGUAAGUAAAGGGAAGGGAAGGAUGAAACCAGUGACUCGUUGAAGACAAUGAUUUGUUGGACCAGUUCCAGUUGCUAUGACAACUGUACGUCUGAUUAGGGCGGCUAGGUAUUUAAACCUGAGGACACACAGUCCCGGACACCCAGUCCUCAACACGCAGCUCAGGACACCCAGUCCUCACCGUAUUCCCCUUGAGCUAAGGUCACACAGACCUCGCCCAAUCACUCUGGUAAGUCUUCAAGGCAGACUCCCAAACCUUCACAGACUUCGUUCACCGGCGAUCCACAAUGUCUCUUGGAUGCUCAUAAUGCGACGCCUAACCGGCUGGAGGAUUCACAGUCCUCAAGUGUAAUAAGUCUUCAGACCACACAGACAAGAAGACUUAAGUGAUGCCUAACACUCUUUGGCUCUGGGUGGUUAGGGCUUUAUCCUUGCAAGGAAUUCUCUCUCAAAGGCUUCAAGGUAGGUUGCUCUCAAACGACAAAAGCCAUACUCUAACUCUGAGCAGCCAACCGUUUAUGGUUGUAGGGGGUGGGCUAUUUAUAGCCACUAGGCAACCCGACCUGAUUUGUCUGAAAUGACCCUGGGUCACUAAGAAACUGACACGUGUUCCAACGGUCAGAUUUCAAACUCACACGGCAACUUUACUUGGGCUACAAGCAAAGCUGACUUGUCCGACUCUGGACAAAAUUCGCUCUCAUAGUCUUCACUUGAAGACAUAGGUUUUGGUUAAGCAUCACUUCAGUCAUUCUGACUGGUUCUCUUGGACCCCACUUAACAGUAUGGUGGUUCCUAUGACUCAACAAAGAAGAAACAGAACUACGAAAGAUCUAAGUCUUCGAGCUCCAUAGGCUUCAUGCGAUGUCUUCUCUUGUCAUAGUCUUCAAUGAGAAUAUCUUCAUAAACCACCUUUGACAUCAAUGUCUUCAUACAUUUUUAGGGGUCAUCUCUGGUAGGAAAACCGAAUCAAUGAGGGACUUCUACCUGUGUUAUCCUGCAAUUCUCACAAACACAUUAGUCCCUCAACUAGGUUUGUCGUCAAUACUCCAAAACCAACUAGGGGUGGCACUAGAUGCACUUACACUUCCUUUACCAUUGCUUAACAAGGCACCCUUCCCCAAUAUUCUGUCAGCAUUAUAAAAGAAGAAACAAGCAGACACAUAACAAGUUUAGCAUGUACUAGUAUAUGAAACUCAUUUCGGUGAACCAGUUCAUUAGUAAGGUGGAUAGGAUUAAACUACCAAGUCUUCUAUUGCCAAGUACUAGUACAUAAUAAAAGCAUCAAACAAACAUAUAUCUAUGUCCUAUGGUCACUUCAUUGUCUUGCCAAAUCAAAAUAAAGACACGGUUCAAAUCAUAUCAGUUCAAGACAAAGCAGCAAUGAAAGAAUACAAAGCAUGGGAAACUACACGGCAUAACAAGAUUUCAGAUGGGUACCACGGGUCUACAUGUACAACAACACUAUUGGCUUUGUUGUGAUGCUAGUAAUGUGCAUGAUAUGAAAGUCAACUGUAUACACAAUUGAAAUUGAAAUCAACAGAGCUAUUGAUAAUAGCAAACCUGUUAAAGAAACACGCGUGAACAUAUCUGUUGUGCCAUUAGAGUUUCGAUUGGAUCCUUCAAUUUAAAAAUAAGUUUGUAUGAGUAUACAGUGAUACAAGAGCAAAUCAAUCAUAGUUAAAAAAGGCGCACCUAAGCGAGCGCUUAAGCGCGCCUAGGCUCUAGGCGUUGGAAAAACACAUUGCGCAUAACUACGCAUAAUCUGUGCAUAAUUGCGCAUAAGCAUGCGCUUUGGUCAGUAAAGCGCAAGGCGAUGGCAAAACGCAUAAUUAACGCCUAGCACUUUUUUGAACUAUGAUAGCAAUGGAAUCUUAAAUUAGAACAGUUGUUCUUCAGGUUUAGGCACUUGUUCUACAUGAACAGAGUACAGUAAGACGCAAGAAUAUAAUACUUAAAAAUAGAAAAUGAGCUCAUAGACCUUACCACAUUCUUGGUUCGGGACCAGUACAGAACAAGGCGUUCCUAGUCAUAGUCCAGUAAAUGUGUCUCAGGACAACGUAAGAGAAUUUGAUGAGUUUCUUUGCCGGUGAAGUACGUUUUCUUCAGGUAAUUCGGAUACUGACACCAAGCAUUCUUGAACAUAGCAGAGGUAUUAGCACAGGUUACCUCAUCCUGAGUUUCCAAAUCGGUCCUUCUCUAUAGAGAAAAAUGGGAAAAUUUGUUGUAUUAUAACCAUCAUGGAGGUAGGAUGUAUGGGACGAAGCAAAGUAAUUGCCAUGAAUAACAUUACUUACACAUAACUCCUGGACAAACACCUGCAAUUGGCAUUUUCCUUCAUCUUCAGUAUAAUAUUUCCAAGAUGGGAAGAUACGCACAUACGAUUUAACAACAUUAAAUGCGAUAGAUGCUAAACUACGACUAGCUGGUUGUGCUUCCUCCACAGGAAUAGGCGUACUAACUGGUGGAGUUGGGGUUCACCGUGAUAGUACUGGCCCUUUGGGCACUGGAGCUGCCUUACUAACUGCUCUUGUUUGGGAGCUCUGUGGUGGAGAUGGUGUCGUGUCAACAGGAACUGGGUUACUAUCGGUUGGGGUUGGGGUUAGAUUGGGUGAAGCCGGUUCUCUAUCCAUCGCAGUAGGGGUACAAUCUGCGAGAGUUUGGGUUAUGUGUGGUAGGGCUGGUUCUUGUGCAUGUACAACCGGGGUGCUAUCUCCACCAAGAGGUAGCACUGUUUUAUUUGAAGACCGUGUUUUUAGUCCGCUAGAUACUGGCAUCACCCGCUCCAAUUCAAAUGGCUGAUAAACAGGAAACAUAGUUGAAUGUACAGACAUUGUAUAAGAGACAGAUGCAAUAGAUAGUAUGGAAAAAAGAGGGCAUGAAAUAGUUGACAUGUAUAUUGUUUAACUAAAACGGAUAGCAUGACAUAAUUUCACAUAUAUGAUGUCUAUCUAAACUGGAUAGCAUAGCAUAACAUAAUUCAAAGAUAUGAUGAUUAACUAAACAGGAUCGCAUGACAUAAUUCACCUACAUGUUAUCUAAGUAAUCAGGAUCGUGUCAUUUAAUUCACAUAUGUAAUUUAUAUGCUAAACAGAGGGCAUUCGAUAUGAUGUCUGAAGUAAGAACAUGAUGUUGAAUAUUAUGUAUAUGAUGUCUAAACUAUGCAAUGCAAGACACUGUAUGCAUGAUAUGAGCAGUAUAACUGUGCCAAGUUAGAGCAUACACCUCAGUGGGGGAAUAGGACUGGUCAUCUGUCUCUGAAUCCAUCUCUAAGGAGCUAUCGGGACCCAACAAGAGAUCUGCUUCGACAGGUAGCAUUGUCUGCUCUGAAGGCCUUGUUUUCACUCCAGAUUUUUUCAUCUCCCACCCAAAUGGCUGAUUCAUAGGAAGAGUAGUUUAAUGUACAAACAUUAUCGACAAAUGGAAAUGUAAUGAAGAAAAGGAUGGGUAAGAUAUCAUUCAAAUAUAUGAUGCCUGGUUAAACAAGAUGGCAUUGCACAUUUCACAUAUAUUAUGGCUGGCUAAAAGACAUGAGACUGCAUAAUUCUCAUAUAUGAUAUAGAAACUAAACAGGUGGCAUUACAGAACAUGUCUAAACUAAGCAGAUGACAUAUAUGAUGUCAAAAGUAGGCACUGCAAGGCAACAUGUGCAUGAUAUGACUAACAUCAUCAUGGCAAGGUAGAGCAAACAUGCACCUUGGUGGGUAAAUAGGAGUGGUCAGCGGCGUCUGAAUCCGCCUCAGGGCAGAUAUCUUCCUCUGGAUUACAAUCUGGAGAGGGGUGGGGAGGGUUUGCCAUUGGACCCACCAUGGAGCGAUGUCUGCAUGACAUUGUAUUGCCGCGCAAAACUCUUCUCUUUUUCUCUACAUGUUCAGCAUGACUGUGUACAAUAUCUGACAUGCAUACGAAAAAAAUAUGGUGAGAUUAUGUAAGGAGAGCAUGCAGAAAUUUAGAGUGAUGGUAACAACCAGUGGAUCGACGUUUUUCCAUUGAACCAAAAUAGCCCUAAUGGAUCGACGUGAAUGUAUAGUAAUAAGUGAUGUAACAAGUGUACAACCUCUUUGUCGUAGCCGUGUCGACCUCAGCAUCAUUGGGUUGGUCGCUGAAGAAGUUGAGGCAGAGGUUGCUGUUGGAGGUGUGGAGGAAGAUCUGAGGAAUCUGUAGACGGCGUCCAGGGCACUGCUCUAUUGUGAUGGAUCGUUCUAUCAUUGGAGCAGCUCCGGUGAGCCGUAAGACAUCAAGGCUGAAGCAGCACAAGACAGACAUCGUCAAUCUCAAGUGGGAUUCUAAUAGCAUCUCCAAUAGAUGAUGUAAAAUGGAUGUAAAAUUAACAUCACCAAAAACCACCUGACUACAACAGAUGAGGUAAAAACUAUUGACUCUAAACUUAACUGUCGAAACUGAAAUUUACUGUGAAAUCUGAAUGCUACUGUCAAAACUGAAGGCAGUGGCAGCAGAGAGGCACUUGACAUGUAGUUUAGAGAGGGCAUGCAGUUCAUCUUCAACCUGCACCCCCCUGAGCCGCCAGCCACCACCCGCCGAACCACCGGCCCCAGCACCGCCUCGCCGCCCCGAAACAACUCGCCACCGCCGCCCCGGCCAGCCCUCUAGGCCCCGCCCCCACCCUGAACCCUAAGAUAGAUAGUGGGGUACCUCUCCGGCGAGCCCCCGUCCCCGCUGCGGGUGGUUCUUCCUUAACUCCGGCGAGCCCCCCAACCCCUGAAAUCGACUAACCCAAAAGUCGAUUCAGUCGACUAAAGUGUGGCUUAAUCGGAGCAAAGUAGCAGCAUGAGCGAGGGGGAGAGUAGUAGCAGCAGCAGCGCGAGCGAGCGAGCGAGAGCCAGAGCAGCAGCAGCAGAUCCGGCUAGUAUGGACGCCACUGCCGAAGGGGCCUCGCACUGGGGGAGAGACGCAGUGGAGAUGUCGCCCGCGACACCGGCUUCAAGGUAGCCGCUCCAUGGGGGUGCGGGAUGAAGCGUCGUUGGUGCCGGGAGGUCGAGUUAAGGAGAAGGUGCAAUGCGAUGAGUGUACAACCUCUUUGGUGGCGCCGAGUAGGCCUCGGCUUCGUCUGAGGAGUCGGUGAGGAUGCUGCGGUUCCGGUGGACCAGGUUAAGGCGGCGUUGUGGGGAUGGAGCAGCCGUGAUAGAUGAGGCGAUUGUCGGAGCAGCUCCUUGGAGGUGGAGGACGGGGCGGCUGAACCAGCAGGACGGCGAGAUGGACGACGGAUCCUCAUCCAGGGAGGUGGACGAGGGACGUCGAGCUGUUACGGUGGAUGACGUCGUCGGGGAAGAGGCUCUGGCUGGGCAGUGGUGACAUGGCGGGUGGAGGAGGAUGGGGUUUCGUGGCUGGAGCGGAGAGGUUAUGGCGGCCUGGGAUUUCGAAUGGAGAAAAGAGGGCGAUGGAAGGGGGUGAAGCAUGACUUAGGGACGCGCUUGUCCAAAAUGUAGGGUGUGUUACAAAAGUACCCCCCACCGAUUUGAACUAGCGGCCCUUUCGGCUCAGGAUUAGAAGGGGGAUUUCGCGUGUCGGGAUUUGGCAGUUGGAGGGAGUUUUCGCGCGCGUUGUAAUUUUUGGAUAGCAAGGCGCGGGUUGUGAAGGCGCCAGUUUUGGGAGCACGAUAUCUGAAUUUUCGGGAUAUAACAAGAUGCGGGUUGAAUUUUAGGGACAAGCCUAACAUGUAGUAAUAUUGUACUUCUACGUACCAAAUCAAUUCACACUUCCCUCAACCAAAAAGAAAACGAAAAAAAUAAAACUAUUCACACCACACAAAGAGAGAGUCUUACCCCAUUUUACUAUACAAAUGCUAUUCAAAGCUACUCCCUCCUUCCAUCUAUAUAGGGCCUAAUGCGUUUUUCGAUGCUAACUUUGACCAAAUAUUAGAGUAAUGAUAUAUAACAUGCAACUUACACAAAGCACAUCGUUAAAUUCGUCUAUGAAAGGUUCUUUCAAUGAUAUAAUUUUCACAUUGUGCAUGUCAUGUACUAUUAAUCUUGUCAAUAGUCAAAGGUGGUCUUAAAAAUCUCAUUACGCCCUAUAUAGAUGGAAGGAGGGAGUAUGAAUCCAUGUUAUGUUCGAUUAAAUUUUUUUGAUUGCUGUAUAAUGCAUGUAACCUACUCAUACCAACAUUUAAGUGCAUUCCAAAUGUCUAUACUACCACUGCAAUUCGAACUAAAUUUGAAUUUGUUUCUCUAUUUCAAUAAGAAUCUACAAUCAUGAUUGUUGCCAACUUCAACCAUCAUAGUUUCCUUGCUAUCCGCCAGAUAUAAAUCGGACGGCCUAUAAUGCAGGAUGGCAGGCAUACCAUCAUCAACAACUCCGUUUUUUUAUAAGAGUAGAGAUAAAAUAUAUUAAAUGUAGUAUAACAUGUUCAUAACCACACCAUGUGUAUCACCGUUAUAUAUAUUCACACAUGUGUCGGGUUGAAACACUAUGAUAAAUUCUUCAAAUAUCUGAAUUCGCUUUUUAUAAUGAAGUAUAUAUGAUCUCUAUUCGUCUUUUACACCCACACAACCCUCUUAUCUUUGUAGCUAGAGCUAACUUUCUCUUGUGCAUGCACAUGCCCGCAUCCCUCUCACCCUCCCUCAGCAUUCUCUAGCUCCAUCGCGCAAAUUCGUCUUUUCACUUUAGGUCGUUCACCCACGGUGUGUGUAGGCCCCCCAACUCCUUCUUUAUGGCACACAUCGAUCAAUAUGCCUCUCUAGCCAGGUGUGCCUAGCACAAACACAAGCUUCCCCUCUUCUCUUGUCACCGUUCAUGCCUCACUCUUUUCAUCGUUCUCGUACCCCCCAUCGAUCGAUGUACCUCACAAGUUAUGUCUCUCCUUUCUCUAACAAAGGGCGACUGAUCUUCCUAUGUAGUUACGUCUGCUUACCACAGCCACAUCGUCCCCCCUCAUCAUUCGUGCAUGCCUCCUGACCCGUCUCUUCACAUGCACAUGCACAGACAACAAGCAGCCAUCUCCUCCCGUAUUGAUAUUGCGGGCGUGCCCUCCGUUUGUCUAGCAAGCCUAUCCCACCAUUUGUUAGAAGCAACUCCACUACCACCCCCUCCAACACUCUAGCUCUGUCUCUCUCCCAAUCUUAUUCCUCUCCUGCACAUAUGCAUGGAUGUCGAUCGAUCUCCCUUAAUACAUGAGGCAGAUCGAUCUCCUUAAUACAUGAGGUAGGCCUCUCUCCUCCUCCACACAUACACCAGCCAUUGUACCUCUAUAGUUAAUUGGGUCUCCCUCUUCCCCCACCACACACCGAUAGUCGAGCGCUGCAGGUAGGUAUCCAUGCCACAGAGACAAACUGCACAUGUCCCAUCUCACGUUCCAGUAAGCCAGCCACUCUAUAUCUUUGAUGUGGGCACACACAAAUUCGAUGGCACUCUUUAUCGAUCACACGCGCACACACACACACACAUCAUCCCUCUCUUCGAUUCUAUGGACACCUCCAGAUGCAUUUGUAUGAGUAGUUUAUCUUGUGAGAGAAAAGGUUGAACGAGGGAAGGCCUUAUUUGCGAACAUGGAGAGACGUGUGGGUAUAUUUUUGCAAAAUUGCCAUAGUUUCUUUCAUAUCCGUUAGAUAUAAAUCCGACGGCCUAUAUUGCAGGAUGGCACGCACACCAUCAUCACCAACUCUGUUUUCUAGUAUUGUCUUUUUAGAGAUUUCAACAAGUGACUAUGACCGGACCUUACCAACAUACUCAAAAAAGUAGUCCAUAAUUUUGAUGUUACCCUCUUUUCUUGGCGGUGCAGUGCCAUCUGGACACCUCAUAAAUAAAUAAAGUACUACAUGAUACUAAUAUAUGAUACAUGGCGCAGGAGUACUAAGUAUUAUUAAUACAGUUUUGCUAGAACUCAUCUAGAUGAGAUAUAAUUUGGUCUCAUUCAUCUUUUAUAGCCAUUGGAUGUGAUGCUAUAUAAGAUGCGUCUGUGUUGACGUGGGUUGUAUUUGUUCUUGUGCAACGAACUGACCACUGCAUGUCAUGUUUGAUAUCUCAAGUCAUUAAAAGCAUACAAGCCCCACAUCUCUUCUUGGUUGAUUCCUCUAUUUAUGUCAAAAAAUAAGAAACAACAUGAGAGUUAAUGCACCACGCCUAUGUGUUUACUAUUUGGUUUUCGUAAGAUGACUUAAUACUCACCUAGAUGGAGGGAGCAUUCGAUUUGACAGUGGGCGGUGCAGUUCCCGAUACGGCUUUAAUGCAGACAAGGGAGGGAGUAGCGGUUCCCAAUAUGUUGAACGGCCAAUGCAUCCUCCUUCAAUUAAUGCAUGAGGGAAGUAAUGGGAGGAGGUCUGGGAAAAGAGAUUGCACGAUGUGAAUGCAAUGCAGUUUGCCCUCAUUGCCCUCAUAUAAAGGCACCCCUCCAUUCCAAUGCAUCUACCACAUCGUAUGCACCUAAGCAUUUGCCUAAGCACCUGCACUAAGCGCAAAAGAGCUCACUCCAGACCCAUGGCGGCGAUGCGCGUGAGCGGCCAGCGGCUGCGCCAGAUGGUCCACGACGCCGGCCUGUGGCAUGGCGCCGAGGAUCGUCUCCAGACGGUGUUGGAGACCGGCUGGUGGAUGGCCGCCGUCGACGCCAACUACGACUCUCAGUUGGACCAGAUGAUCGUUGCCACUAGCAACAAGUUCACCAUCCUCAAGAAGCUUGUGGACGACAUCGCCGUACUCCUCCAGCCCGCGCGCCCGGGCUCCUCAUUGCCUGCCACCCUAAUCGGCCUCCAUGGCCAGAACCUCUUUCAAGCACCGGUGGCCCUGUGACUGCCCACUAACGCCACAAAGAAUGUCCACCUGGAGGUCCCACUCACCGCGAGGCGCCUCACCCUGCAAGAAUUUGUCGACCUACACAUCCACGUGUACGAGGAAAUCGUGUACAUAGGUAUCUACAAGGCCGGUGAGGACGCUACGACGUUGGCCUUCCUCAACCGGCUGGAAGCCUUGGAUGCCUUUGCUGAGAAGCACCUCGACCUCGCCACAAAAGCCGCCACUCCUUAGCCGUCGGUCGGUGGCCCGGCGCACUAAGUUGAGGAGGAGGAGGUCGUACGUUCGUGGAUCCAUCUUUCUUCUUCCCUUCUGUAACCACCACUGCGAUGGCAUCAUCGUGGCCUUAAUUCUUAUUGUGCUGUUGCAUUCUCGUUCCAGUCAAUACCGACAUGUGCGAUCCCUUUGCUUAAUUAUAUGCAUCACUGUAAAUAGUACUCCAUCCGUCAAUUUAUAAGUUGUGCUUACCUUUUCCAUCAACUUCGUGCAACGCGCGGGCAUCUUGCUAGAAACACUAGAAUAUGUCUAUAUAAUCCGUAUGUGAUAGUCCAUUUGAAAUCUCAAAAAAGACAAAUAUUUAGGUAUAGAGGGAGUAAUACAUUAGGAGUAUAUCAAAACAAUAGUGAUUUCUUUCAAGUUUGUGAACAAAUACUACUAUUCUACUACUUUGGAUCCGUCGCAACGCACAGGCACAUUGCUGGUAAAAGGAAAAGGCAUGCCGUGUUCGCGUCGCACCCCCACACGCCCGGGAAUCGGGAGUACAACAUGGCCGUCCGGCAUGACACAUAGCUUAGGGAAGGUGUGUUGCCUAGCAUUUUCACUUUCAUGUGGGACCGCCGUUGAGCAAACCGACACCCCGCCCGCCGCCGGGUUGGAAAACAGAAACGAGGGGAAGAUCUAGCUGUAGCACAGAAGCCAAGAAAUUUGGUGUCAGACGGGGCUCGUUGAUAGAGUAGGAGCAUUCCGUACUAGUACAACUCCUACUAGUACCAAGUUUGUACUCCUAAUACUAUAUUACUAGUACUACCACUAUACAACUAGUAGGUACGUGCACAGCACAGCAUCGUAGGACCAAAAAAGCGAAGAUCUUGUUUUGGGUGAUUUAUCUUUUUUCAAUCAACAUAGUAUGAAAAAUAUGAUGUGGGGGGCACCCAUGAAGCUUAUGUGGCUUGGUUGCAUGGCUACGGAAGGUUAGAGAAAAAUAAAUAGAUAAUGUGUUUAGAGUGCACUCCACUAAAUAGAUAUACUUUGGAUCCAUUGCAACGGACCGGCACAUCUAUAUCCAUACCCCCUAUAUAGUGUGUGAAAAACUUUGAAAGUUGGUCGUUGGAUGAAGCCAAUCUGACGGUACAAAGAUGGCAAAUCCGAGCACUACUGGUCGUUGGAUAUCAUCCACCAGAUUCUUCCACAUGUAUAAUCUAGAAGACUCCAUGGUUGAACUUAAUUCAUGACUAACUUUGCCACAACUAAGUGAUGACCCACAAGUAUAGGGGAUCUAUCGUAAUCCUUUCGAUAAGUAAGAGUGUCGAACCCAACGAGGAGCAGAAGGAAAUGAUAAGCGGUUUUCAGCAAGGUAUUCUCUGCAAGUACUGAACUAAUUGGUAACAGAUAGUUUUGUGAUAAGAUAGGUUGUAACCAUAUGAGGAGAAGAAGUGGUUGUUGGGGAACAUAGUAAUUUCAAAAAAAUUCCUACGCACACGCAAGAUCAUGGUGAUGCAUAGCAACGAGAGGGGAGAAUGUUGUCUACGUACCCUCGUAGACCGACAGCGGAAGCGUUAUGACAACGCGGUUGAUGUAGUCGUACGUCUUCACGGCCCGACCGAUCAAGCAACAAAACUACGGCACCUCCGAGUUCUAGCACACGUUCAGCUCGAUGACGAUCCCCGGACUCCGAUCCAGCAAAGUGUCGGGGAAGAGUUCCGUCAGCACGACGGCGUGGUGACGAUCUUGAUGUACUACCGUCGCAGGGCUUCGCCUAAGCACUGCUACAAUAUUAUCGAGGAUUAUGGUGGAAGAGGGCACCGCACACGGCUAAGAAUAUGAUCACGUGGAUCAACUUGUGUCUCUAGGGGGUGCCCCUGCCUCCGUAUAUAAAGGCUCAAAGGGGGGGUGCGGCCGGCCAGGAGAGGCGCGCCAGGAGGAGUCAUACUCCCUCUGGGAGUAGGAUUCCCCCCUCCCUUUUCCUAGUUGGAAUAGGAUUCGCGGAGGGGGUGGAAAAGAGGAAGGGGGGCCGGCCCCCUCUCCUUGUCCUAUUCGGACCAAGGGAGGGGAGGGGCGCGCGGCCCAUCUCUGGCUGCCUCUUCUCUUUUCCACUAAGGCCCACUAAGGCCCAUAUAUCUCCCGGGGGUUCCGGUAACCUCCCGGUACUCCGGUAAAAUCCCGAUUUCACCCGGAACACUUCCGAUAUCCAAACAUAGGCUUCCAAUAUAUCAAUCUUUAUGUCUCGACUAUUUCGAGACUCCUCGUCAUGUCCGUGAUCUCGUCCGGGACCCCGAACAACCUUCGGUACAUCAAAACGUAUAAACUCAUAAUAUAACUAUCAUCGAAACCUUAAGCGUGCGGACCCUACGGGUUCGAGAACAAUGUAGACAUGACCGAGACACGUCUCCGGUCAAUAACCAAUAGCGGGACCUGGAUGCCCAUAUUGGCUCCUACAUAUUCUACAAAGAUCUUUAUCGGUCAGACCGCAUAACAACAUACGUUGUUCCCUUUGUCAUCGGUAUGUUACUUGCCUGAGAUUCGAUCGUCGGUAUCCAAUACCUAGUUCAAUCUCGUUACUGGCAAGUCUCUUUACUCGUUCCGUAAUACAUCAUCCCACAACUAACUCAUUAGUUGCAAUGCUUGCAAGGCUUAAGUGAUGUGCAUUACCGAGAGGGCCCAGAGAUACCUCUCCGACGAUCUGAGUGACAAAUCCCAAUCUCGAAAUACGCCAACCCAACAUGUACCUUUGGAGACACCUAUAGAGCACCUUUAUAAUCACCCAGUUACGUUGUGACGUUUGGUAGCACACAAAGUGUUCCUCCGGCACACGGGAGUUGCAUAAUCUCAUAGUCAUAGGAACAUGUAUAAGUCAUGAAGAAAGCAAUAGCAACAUACUAAAUGAUCGGGUGCUAAGCUAAUGGAAUGUGUCAUGUCAAUCAGAUCAUUCAACUAAUGAUGUGAUCCUGUUAAUCAAAUAACAACUCUUUGUCCAUGGUUAGGAAACAUAACCAUCUUUGAUUAACGAGCUAGUCAAGUAGAGGCAUACUAGUGACACUCUGUUUGUCUAUGUAUUCACACAUGUAUUAUGUUUCCGGUUAAUACAAUUCUAGCAUGAAUAAUAAACAUUUAUCAUGAUAUAAGGAAAUAAAUAAUAACUUUAUUAUUGCCUCUAGGGCAUAUUUCCUUCAGUCUCCCACUUGCACUAGAGUCAAUAAUCUAGAUCACAUCGCCAUGUGAUUUAACAUCAAUAGUUCACAUCUUUAUGUGAUUGGUUCACAUCUCCAUGUGACUAACACCCAAAGGGUUUAGUAGAUUCAAUAAUCUAGUUCACAUCGCUAUGUGAUUAAGACCCAAAAAGUGAUCAUGUUUUGCUUAUGAGAGAAGUUUAGUCAACGGGUCUGCCACAUUCAGAUCCGCAUGUAUUUUGCAAAUUUCUAUGUCAACAAUGCUCUGCAUGGAGCUACUCUAGCUAAUCUAUCCCACUUUUAAUAUGUAUCUAGAUUGAGACUUAGAGUCAUCUGGAUCAGUGUCAAAACUUGCAUCGACGUAACCCUUUACGACGAACCUUUUGUCACCUCCGUAAUCGAGAAACAUAUCCUUAUUCCAGUAAGGAUAAUUUUGACCGCUGUCCAUUGAUCUACUCCUAGAUCACUAUUGUACUCCCUCUCUUAACACAGUGUAUGGUAUACAAUAGAUUUGGUACACAGCAUGGCAUACGUUAUAGAACCUAUGACUGAGGCAUAGGGAAUGACUUUCAUUCUCUUUCUAUCUUCUGCCGUGGUCGGGCUUUGAGUCUUACUCAACUUCACACCUUGUAACACAGGCAAGAAACUUUUUCUUUGACUGUUCCAUUUUGAACUACUUCAAAAUCUUGUCAAGGUAUGUACUCAUUGAAAAAACUUAUCAAGCGUCUUGAUAUAUCUCUAUAGAUCUUGAUACUCAACAUGUAAGCAGCUUCACCGAGGUCUUUAUUCGAAAAAACUCCUUUCAAACACUCCUUUAUGCUUUGCAGAAUAAUUUUACAUUAUUUCUGAUCAACAAUAUGUCAUUCACAUAUACUUAUCAAAAAUGUUGUAGUGCUCCCACUCACUUUCUUGUAAAUACAGGCUUCAUCGCAAGUCUGUAUAAAACUAUAUGCUUUGAUCAACUUAUCAAAGCGUAUGUUCCAACUCCGAGAUGCUUGCACCAGUCCAUAAAUGGAUCGCUGGAGCUUGCAUAUUUUGUUAGCACCUUUAGGAUUGACAAAACCAUCUUGUUGCAUCACAUACAACUCUUCUUUAAUAAAUCCAUUAAGGAAUGUAGUUUUUUUUAUCCAUUUGCCAGAUUUCAUAAAAUGCGGCAAUUGCAAACAUGAUUCGGACAGACUUAAGCAUAGAUACGAGUGAGAAACUCUCAUCGUAGUCAACACCUUGAACUUGUCGAAAACCUUUUGCGACAAUUCUAGCUUUGUAGAUAGUAACACUACUAUCCAUGUCUGUCUUCCUCUUGAAGAUCCAUUUAUUCUCAAUGGCUUGCCAAUCAUCGGGCAAGUCAACCAAAGUCUACACUUUGUUCUCAUACAUGGAUCACAUCUCAGAUUUCAUGGCCUCAAGCCAUUUUGCGGAAUCUGGGCUCAUCAUCGCUUCCUCAUAGUUCGCAAGUUCGUCAUGGUCUAGUAACAUGACUUCCAGAACAGGAUUAUCGUACCACUCUGGUGCGGAUCUCACUCUGGUUUACCUACGAGAUUCGAUAGUAACUUGAUCUGAAGUUACAUGAUCAUCAUCAUUAGCUUCCUCACUAAUUGGUGUAGUAGUCACAAGAACAGAUUUCUGUGAUGAACUACUUUCCAAUAAGGGAGAUGGUACAAUUACCUUAUCAAGUUUUCUACUUUCCUCCCACUCACUUCUUUCGAGAGAAACUCCUUCUCUAGAAAGUAUCCAUUCUCAGCAACGAAUGUCUUGCCUUCGGAUCUGUGAUAGAAGGUGUACCCAACUGUCUCCUUUGGGUAUCCUAUGAAGACAUAUUUCUCCGAUUUGAAUUUGAGCUUAUCGAGAUGAAACUUUUUCACAUAAGCAUCACAACUCCAAACUUUAAGAAAUGACAGCUUAGGUUUCUUGCCAAACCAUAGUUCACACGGUGUCGUCUCAACGGAUUUAGAUGGUGCCCUAUUUAACGUGAAUGCAGCUGUCUCUAAUGCAUAACCCCAAAACGAUAGUGGUAGAUCAGUAAGAGACAUCAUAGAUCGCACUAUAUCUAAUAAAGUACGUUUAUGACAUUCGGACACACCAUUACACUAUGGUGUUCCAGGUGGCGUGAGUAGUGAAACUAUUUCACAUUGUUUUAAUUAAAGGCCAAACUCGUAACUCAAAUAUUUUACCUCUGUGAUCAUAUCGUAGAAACUUUUAUUUUCUUGUCACGAUGAUUUUCCACUUCACUCUGAAAUUCUUUGAACUGUUCAAAUGUUUCAGACUUAUGUUUCAUCAAGUAGAUAUCCCCAUAUCUGCUCAAAUCAUCUGUGAAGGUUAGAAAAUAAUGAUACCUGCUGCAAGCCUUAAUAUUCAUCGGACCACAUACAUCAGUAUGUAUGAUUUCCAACAAAUCUGUUGCUUGCUUCAUUGUUCCGGAGAACAGCGUUUUAGUCAUCUUGCCAAUAAGGCAUGGUUCGCAAGCAUGAAGUGAUUCAUAAUCAAGUGAUUCCAAAAGCCCAUCAGCAUGGAGUUUCUUCAUGCGCUUUACACCAAUAUGACUUAAACGGCAGUGCCACAAAUAAGUCGCACUAUCAUUAUUAACUUUGCAUCUUUUGGUUUCAAUAUUAUGAAUAUGUGUAUCACCACGAUCGAGAUCCAACGAACUUGUUUCAUUGGGUGUAUGACCAUCGAAGGUUUUAUUCAUGUAAACAGAACAACAAUUAUUCUCUGACUUUAACGAAUAACCGUAUUGCAAUAAACAUGAUCAAAUCAUAUUCAUGCUCAAUGCAAAAACCAAAUAACACUUAUUUAGGUUCAACACUAAUCCCGAAAGUAUAGGGGAGUGUGCGAUGAUGAUCAUAUCAAUCUUGGAACUACUUCCAACACACAUCGUCACUUCACCCUUAACUAGUCUCUGUUUAUUCUGCAACUCCUGUUUCGAGUUACUACUCUUAGCAACUGAUCCAGUAUCAAAUACCGAGGGGUUGUUAUAAACACUAGUAAAGUACACAUCAAUAACAUGUAUAUCACAUAUACUUUUGUUCACUUUGCCAUCCUUCUUAUCCGCCAAAUACUUGGGGUAGUUCUGUUUCCAGUGACCAGUCCCUUUGCAGUAGAAGCACUUAGUCUCAGGCUUAGGACCAGACUUUGGCUUCUUCACUUGAGCAGCAACUUGCUUGUUGUUCUUCUUGAAGUUCCCCUUCUUCCCUUUGCCCUUUUAUUGAAACUAGUGGUCUUGUCUACCAUCAACACUUGAUGCUCUUUCUUGAUUUCUACCUUCAUCGAUUUCAUCAUCAUGAAAAGCUCGGGAGUCGUUUUCGUCAUCCCUUGCAUACUAUAGUUCAUCACGAAGUUCUACUAACUUGGUGAUGGUGACUAGAGAAUUCUGUCAAUCACUAUCUUAUCUGGAAGAUUAACCCCCACUUGAUUCAAGCGAUUGUAGUACCCAGACAAUCUGAGCACAUGCUCACUGCUUGAGCGAUUCUCCUCCAUCUUGUAGCUAUAGAACUUGUUGGAGACUUCAUAUCUCUCAACUCGGGUAUUUGCUUGAAAUAUUAACUUCAACUCCUGGAACAUCUCAUAUGGUCCAUGACGUUCAAAAUGUCUUUGAAGUCCCGAUUCUAAGCCGUUAAGCAUGGUGCACUAAACUAUCAAGUAGUCAUCAUAUUGAGCUAGCCAAACGUUCAUAACGUCUGCAUCUGCUCCUGCAAUAGGUCUGUCACCUAGCGGUGCAUCAAGGACAUAAUUCUUCUGUGCAGCAAUGAGGAUAAACCUCAGAUCACAGAUCCAAUCCACAUCAUUGCUACUAACAUCUUUCAACACAAUUUUCUCUAGGAACAUAUCAAAAUAAACACAGGGAAGCAACAACGCGAGCUAUUGAUCUACAACAUAAUUUGCAAAAUACUACCAGGACUAAGUUCAUGAUAAAUUUAAGUUCAAUUAAUCAUAUUACUUAAGAACUCCCACUUAGAUAGACAUCCCUCUAAUCCUCUAAGUGAUCACGUGAUCCAAAUCAACUAAACCAUGUCCGAUCAUCACGUGAGAUGGAGCCGUUUCAUUGGUGAACAUCACUAUGUUGAUCAUAUCUACUAUAUGAUUCACGCUCGACCUUUCGGUCUCCGUGUUCCAAGGCCAUAUCUGUAUAUGCUUGGCUCGUCAAGUAUAACCUGAGUAUUCCGCGUGUGCAACUGUUUUGCACCCGUUGUAUUUGAACGUAGAGCCUAUCACACCCGAUCAUCACGUGGUGUCUCAGCACGAAGAACUUUUGCAAUGGUGCAUACUCAGGGAGAACACUUCUUGAUAAUUAGUGAGAGAUCAUCUUAAAAUGCUACCGUCAAACUAAGCAAAAUAAGAUGUAUAAAAGAUAAACAUCAUAUGCAAUCAAAAUAUGUGACAUGAUAUGGCCAUCAUCAUCCUGCGCCUUUGAUCUCCAUCUCCAAAGUACUGUCAUGAUCUCUAUCGUCACCGGCAUGACACCAUGAUCUCCAUCAUCUUGAUCUAUAUCAAUGUGUCGUCACACGGUCGUUUUGCCAACUAUUGCUCUUGCAACUAUUGCUAUCGCAUAGCGAUAAAGUAAAGCAAUUAUUUGGCGCUUGCAUCUUAUGCAAUAAAGAGACAACCAUAAGGCUUUUGCCAGUUGCCGAUAACUUCAACAAAACAUGAUCAUCUCAUACAAAAACUUAUAUCUCAUCACGUUUUGACCAUAUCACAUCACAACAUGCCCUGCAAAAACAAGUUAGACGUCCUCUACUUUGUUGUUGCAAGUUUUACGUGGUUGCUACGGGCUUAGCAAGAACCGUUCUUACCUAUGCAUCAAAAACCACAACGAUAGUUUGUCAAGUUGGUGCUGUUUUAACCUUCGUAAGGACCGGGCGUAGCCACACUCGGUUCAACUAAAGUUGGAGAAACUGACACCCGCCAGCCACCUGUGUGCAAAGCACGUCGGUAGAACCAGUCUCGCGUAAGUGUACGCGUAAUGUCAGUCCGGGCCGCUUCAUCCAACAAUGCCGCCGAACCAAAGUAUGACAUGCUGGUAAGCAGUAUGACUUAUAUCGCCCACAACUCACUUGUGUUCUACUCGUGCACAACAUCAACAUAUAAAACCUAGGCCCGGAUGCCACUGUUGGGGAACGUAGUAAUUUCAAAAAAAUUCCUACUCACACGCAAGAUCAUGGUGAUGCAUAGCAACGAGAGGGGAGAGUGUUGUCUACAUACCCUCGUAGACCGACAGCGGAAGCGUUAUGACAAUGCGGUUGAUGUAGUCGUACGUCUUCACAGCCCGACCGAUCAAGCACCGAAACUAUGGCACCUCCGAGUUCUAGCACACGUUCAGCUCGAUGACGAUCCCCGGACUCCGAUCCAGCAAAGUGUCGGGGAAGAGUUCCGUCAGCACGACGGCAUGGUGACGAUCUUGAUGUACUACCUUCACAGGGCUUCGCCUAAGCACUGCUACAAUAUUAUCGAGGAUUAUGGUGGAAGGGGGCACCGCACACGGCUAAGAAUAUGAUCACGUGGAUCAACUUGUGUCUCUAGGGGGUGCCCCUGCCUCCGUAUAUAAAGGCUCAAAGGGGGNNNNNNNNNNNNNNNNNNNNNNNNNNNNNNNNNNNNNNNNNNNNNNNNNNNNNNNNNNNNNNNNNNNNNNNNNNNNNNNNNNNNNNNNNNNNNNNNNNNNNNNNNNNNNNNNNNNNNNNNNNNNNNNNNNNNNNNNNNNNNNNNNNNNNNNNNNNNNNNNNNNNNNNNNNNNNNNNNNNNNNNNNNNNNNNNNNNNNNNNNNNNNNNNNNNNNNNNNNNNNNNNNNNNNNNNNNNNNNNNNGGCCAGGAGAGGUGCGCCAGGAGGAGUCCUACUCCCUCUGGGAGUAGGAUUCCCCCCCCCCCCCUUUCCUAGUUGGAAUAGGAUUCGCGGAGGGGGUGGAAAAGAGGAAGGGGGGCCGGCCCCCUCUCCUUGUCCUAUUCGGACCAAGGGAGGGGAGGGGCGCGCGGCCCAUCUCUGGCUGCCUCUUCUCUUUUCCGCUAAGGCCCAUAUAUCUCCCGGGGGGUUUCGGUAACCUCCCGGUACUCCGGUAAAAUCCCGAUUUCACCCAGAACACUUCCGAUAUCCAAACAUAGGCUUCCAAUAUAUCAAUCUUUAUGUCUCGACUAUUUCGAGACUCCUCGUCAUGUCCGUGAUCUCAUCCGGGACUCCGAACAACCUUCGGUACAUCAAAACGUAUAAACUCAUAAUAUAACUAUCAUCGAAACCUUAAGCGUGCGGACCCUACGGGUUCGAGAACAAUGUAGACAUGACCGAGACACAUCUCCGGUCAAUAACCAAUAGCGGGACAUGGAUGCCCAUAUUGGCUCCUACAUAUUCUACAAAGAUCUUUAUCAGUCAGACCGCAUAACAACAUACGUUGUUCCCUUUGUCAUCGGUAUGUUACUUGCCUGAGAUUCGAUCGUCGGUAUCCAAUACCUAGUUCAAUCUCGUUACCGGCAAGUCUCUUUACUCGUUCCGUAAUACAUCAUCCCGCAACUAACUCAUUAGUUGCAAUGCUUGAAAGGCUUAAGUGAUGUGCAUUACCGAGAGGGCCUAGAGAUACCUCUCCGACGAUCGGAGUGACAAAUCCCAAUCUCGAAAUACGCCAACCCAACAUGUACCUUUGGAGACACCUGUAGAGCACCUUUAUAAUCACCCAGUUACGUUGUGACGUUUGGUAGCACAUAAAGUGUUCCUCCGGCACACGGGAGUUUCAUAAUCUCAUAGUCAUAGGAUCAUGUAUAAGUCAUGAAGAAAGCAAUAGCAACAUACUAAACGAUCGGGUGCUAAGCUAAUGGAAUGAGUCAUGUCAAUCAGAUCAUUCAACUAAUGAUGUGAUUCCGUUAAUCAAAUAACAACUCUUUGUCCAUGGUUAGGAAACAUAACCAUCUUUGAUUAACGAGCUAGUCAAGUAGAGGCAUACUAGUGACACUCUGUUUGUCUAUGUAUUCACACAUGUAUUAUGUUUCCGGUUAAUACAAUUCUAGCAUGAAUAAUAAACAUUUAUCAUGAUAUAAGGAAAUAAAUAAUAACUUUAUUAUUGCCUCUAGGGCAUAUUUCCUUCAGUGGUCAAUCCAUCAAUCGAAGUCCUGCCGCCGCCGCUGGUGCUAGGGUCCGUCGACGACGUCCAUUAUAGGAGUCAACGUCAGACUUUACCCGUGUUGCUCGGAACGAUGGAUGGCACAGGGACUACUCCAUCGCGCGGCGAAGGCCACUGCUUCUUUGGGAGAAGAGGCAGGGCUGGCUACCUGGAUGUGCUCUAAUUUGAGGUAACAACUGAAUCUUGUCAGAUACUAGUUAAAUCCGAGCUAUGGGUGUGAAGCACUGAUAUGCCAGUACAUUUGAUUGUGACAUGUUCUAAUUUUGUACCUGAACUUUUUUUAGAAAGGGUUGUACGUCAACUUAAUGUGCUAGCAGAACUUAUUAUGUUGUCUGUCUGUUUUCUUUGCACAACAUUCAAGAUAUUUCUCCGUCAUUGAUAAAGACGAUGAACCGUUAUGUACGGCUUCGUUGGUUUCAGCAUAGCCCUUCCCGUAGCGAUCCACUGCUUCCAUCCUGAUUGUGCCGCCUGCGUGAAAUUUUUGUAUGCAAGUUCAGUGUGCUAUGAUGUUCUAUAUGAUUGUGUGAACUAUAUAAGUUUUUACUGAGCAUCAGCAAUGCAUAUGGCUGAAAGAUGUAUUUAUGAGCAUCGACUGAUGGGUCUCUCUCUAUCUCUCUCUCUCUCUCUCUCUCUCUCUCUCACACACACACACACACGCGCGCGCACACGCGCACAAGUGGGACCCGUUGAAUUAUUUAUUUGCUUGUGACAGCUUUUAAUUAGGUUCCACUGUAAUCUAACUUUUUUCUUAAGUUAUUAAUUGAGCUCAGUGACUUCAAAAAGUUGUACAGAAGCCUUGUUUGGGCCUUUCCGGCGUCGCUGAAUGUGGGUUGAGUAACCAUGUUAGGUUGUGUUGUACUAGACAGGCCUUUUUUCAAUAUUAGCAAUGCAACUGGGCCGACAGUUGUACACAAUAUCCGGAUCAACUUGUUAUUCUUCGCCCCGUUGGGCUGCAAACUUUCCUAGGAAGUAUGCAUUAGGCUUAACAAAAAAAUGGACUUUAAGAAAUAAUAAAUGAGAUGUAAUUAUAAUAACUGGACAAUUAUUAUGCACCAAAUACGUAAUUAGUUUGAAAAAUAUAUUAUUUUUGGAAUUUUAAAGUUUUAAUUUCAUUACUUGUUGCGUGCACAAUAUUUCGUUGGAUUUUUACGUAAUACAAUUUUAUUUUGAAAUUAUAUUUAACCUGACUAGAAAUUUCGAAUAAAAAUAUUUCGGAUCCCAUCAAAAUGUGGGAAUUUUUUUAAUUCUGUUUUGAGCGGUUGUUUGAAAUUAUUAAUCGUUGUCCUAGCUAGAAGUUGAGCUGUACUUUUAACAAACUGUAAAUGGGCUGUAGUAAAUUUCAUUAGAAUUAAGAAAUGAGAUGAACAUUCUUACAAAUCGCAAAUGGGCUAUAUGUUCUCUGGCAAAUCCGAGCUGUGGGCCUACUAAGUUGACGCAUACCAAGGGCUUUGUCAACUUAGUCAAUAUAAACGAUUCUAGCUGCAGUGAUCGUACGAUGUCCAUCCAAUGGCCGUAGUGCUUUUUCAACCUCUGGUCUUCUUUCUCCAGCCGCCCAAAGCAGCGCCGGUCGUGUCGCGAGCUCCUGCCUCCCGUGGCCGGUUGUGAUGCUGCAGAGGCCUCACUGCCCCGUACUACUCCCACCGCUGACCAGGCUAUCCCUCUACUCACCCACACCCCCUGUUAUUCUGCGGCGACGGCAGCCUCACACCGCAGCCGAACCAGUGAACCCUUGUACUCCUAUCUGUGCGGGCUUCCACUGCUGCGUCUUCCCUGGCUCCGCGUCGUCUCCUUCCUAGGCCUCACCAUCGUCCAGACCACCGCCCUGGUGCUCUCGACGCGGCGUGGUCAACGACCGACUUCCAUCGGAAGAGUACUGUACGUGGAGAGGCUGACAACUGGGUCCAGGCGGCCGCAAGGAAGUGCCUCCUUAUUACGCGCAAAAUAAUUAUUCCUCCACCUGACAGCAGGGACCCGCCGGACGGGCCACCUUAUUUCACAAAAAAACGUUUCCCCUUGACUGUUGGGACCCACCGGACGGGACAGCGUAUUUCGCGAAGAAAACGUUUCCCCCGCUGUCAGCUCAGACCCACUGGAAGUGCCUCUUUAUUACGCACAAAAAAAGGAAUACUCCCCCUACUAGCUGGGACCCACCAUGGUGGGAGGCUGACUUGUGGGCCUACUAAGUUGACUGGGACGGAGGCCUUUCUCAACUUUAGUCAAUAUGAAUGAUUCUAGCUCCAGUGACCAUAUGAUGUCCAUCCAAUGGCCGUAGUGCUUCUUCAACCUUUGGUCUUCUUGCUCCAGCCGCCCAAAGCAGCGCCGGUCAUGCCGCAUGCUCCUGCCUCCCGUGGCCGGCUGUGCUGCCACGGAGGCCUCACCGCCCCCUACUAUUCCCACCGCUGGUCAGGCCCUGCGGCGACGGUAGCCUCACACCGCAGCCGAACCAGUGAACCCUCGUACUCCUCUCUGCGCGGGCUUCCACUGCCGCGUCUUCCCCGGCUCCCCGUCGUCCCCUUCCUAGGCCUCGCUGUCGUCCACCGCCCUGGUGCUCUCGGCGCGGCGUGGUCAACGUGGUCAAGCAACGACUUCCAUCGGACGUGGACUGUACGUGGAGAGGCUGACAGCUGGGUCCACGGCCGCAGCAAGGAAGUGCCUCCUUAUUACGCGGAAAAUAAUGAUUCCUCCACCUGAUAGAUGGGACCCACCGGAUAGGCCACUGUAUUUUGCGAAAAAAAAGGUUUCCCCCUGACUACUGGAACCCACUAGCUACAUCUUCACACGCAAGGAAGUGCGUCCGGGCAAAAAAAUGAUUCGCCCCCUGACUUCUGGGACCCAUCAGCUACAUCUUCGCAGGCAAGGAAGUGCCUGACAGUCGAGACCCACCUGGUCGAAGCAUACGUAGCGUUGUCAUUCUGGUCGCGGACGUGUACAUACAUAUAUACUGGUGGAUAUAGAGGCGCGCAUGUGUCAUAGUAGAGGCGUGUACGUGUCGUAGUAGAGGCACGCACGUAGCAUGUACACGUAUGUACAGCGGCCAGGGUGCAAGAAAGAAAAUACGGUCACAUAUGUGUACAUACGGGCGGGGUCUCGAACGCCCACUCGCGCAUACGUACGGCCAGGGCUCGUGUACAUGGCUGGGUCGAAACGGAGAAAUAGCGUCGUCGUCGUGUUCAUGGGGAGGCAACGGAAUGCGUCGUGUUCAUCGGGAGGCAACGGAAUGCGUCGUGUUCAUCGGGAGGCAAUGGAACGCGUGGGAGCCAACCGGCUGGGUCGGAACGGAAUGCGUGGUCAUAUUCAUCGGGAGGGCUUGGACGGAAUAGGCGAUGGAAACGAGGCCUGGCGUACCGCACAACGGAGGAAACAGACCUCCUACGUUCGAAACAGGGUCCUGAUGAUUGGGAGGGGUCUGGCGUACCGCAAAACGGAGGAAACGGACCUCCUACGGUCGAAACGGGUGUCCUGUUGAUCGGGAGGGGUGUGGCGUACCACAAAACGGACGAAACGGACCUCCUACGGUCAAAAAAGGGGUCCUGUUGAUCGGGAGGAGUGUGGCGUACUGCAAAACGGACGAAACGGACUUGUGUUGGAGCGCUACGGUCGAAACGGGGGUCCUGUUCAUCGGGAGGGGUGUGGCCUACCGCAAAACGGGACUCCACGGGAUACUGUUCAUCUCCACUAUCGACCUCCUCCAGCCUUCACGGGCUACCGUCGACCUCCUCCAGCCUCCACGGGCUCCUGUUCAUCCAGCCUUCCACCACGCGCUACUCCAUCGGCUACUAUUCAACCACCCCUCCACCUUCUACUAUUCAUCCAGCCCUCCACACCACGGGGUCCUGUUCAACCACCCCUCCACGGACACCCCUCCACCGUAUACUGUUCAUCCAGCCCUCCACCACACCACGGGAUCCUGUUCAUCCAGAGGCAACGNNNNNNNNNNNNNNNNNNNNNNNNNNNNNNNNNNNNNNNNNNNNNNNNNNNNNNNNNNNNNNNNNNNNNNNNNNNNNNNNNNNNNNNNNNNNNNNNNNNNNNNNNNNNNNNNNNNNNNNNNNNNNNNNNNNNNNNNNNNNNNNNNNNNNNNNNNNNNNNNNNNNNNNNNNNNNNNNNNNNNNNNNNNNNNNNNNNNNNNNUUCAUCCCAGAGGCAGCAUCGAUCGGCUUCAGUUAGCAGCAGUAGCGAAGGAAUCGCUCGAUCGGAUUCAGUUAACAGCCAUCGAUCGAUCGCUCGGGUUCGGUGACGCGUAGCCAGCAGUGCAAUCGCUCGGGUUCAGUUAGAGCCCAACACCUCGCUCGGGUUCAGUUAGAGCCAACGCCUCGCACACACGCGCGUACGUGUACGAGAGAAACGCGCAUCGCUCGGCCCCCGACCUCCCACCGUAACCGGGAACUCCCCGAAAUUUUCCUCCCCCUCGCUUCUACCAUGCUUUUUUCCGUCAUGGACGGCCCAAAGAAUGUCAUGCAGCUGCGUCUCCGGCCCGCCCAGGACGAAAUGCCCAUUUUCUGUUAUGAUUUUUUGUCAUAGAAGUAGGAGCCCACCACAUCUAUGAUGAUACCGGGUUUUGUCACAAUUAUCAUCAUAGAAGUGUCAUAUGUAUGACAAAAAAAAUUCGUUCGGCCCAAAAUGUCACGGAUGUGUCUUUUUUUGUAGUGUUCCAUUUCUCAUCAUCCUUCAACACGUUAUAGCAAUGGGGCAAGGUAAAGACCCUUCCUUUCUUGAUCUUCCCCUUCUUGGUUUUCCCCUCCUCUUCUUUGAACAAGUUUUGUGCAAUGUUGUACUACAUGAAAACAAAGCAGGUUAGCACCAACAAGUAUGAUGAACAUGUAUGAAAUGCCACUUACUCUAUCGUCCUCAUUUAUGCCACUUGGGUUCAACUUGUCAACCGCCUUUUGACAGGUCGCCCACCUUUGACAAUCCGAGUUGAUUGUCGACCAUCGGGACCGAAGUGAUCUCUCAGAGCGGUCAAGUCCACUCACGUUGUGAACAUCAAAGUGUUCUUUCAUCCGCCCCCAAUAAGCAUCUCGACUUUCAUCACCUCCAACGGAUGGAUCCCUCGACACUUGCAACCAAGUAUUGCAUAGUAAGAUGUCAUCGGCGUUGGUGUAAUUGCCCGCUCUUCCUUUCGGCGCGUCGACAAUGCCCUCACCCUCCUCGUCCACCUCGAACUCGUGGUCUUCGAAAUGCAUGUCAUUGGUUUGAGACCAAUGUGAAUUGUUGGAGCCAACACCCAUAGUUGACAUGUAUGCAUCAUCAUUGAGACUACAAAGUUUUUUGAACAAUGCAAAUAAGCUAUCUAUAUGUGAAUGCAUUGAAAAAAUAACAAGAAAAGAAAAGUUGGGAAUUUUUUUACCUUGGGGGCAUUUCGUCGAACAUGUUGUGCGCGUCGGCCGCCGGCUCAACGAGUGAGCUCGCCGGCGCUUCCGUAGCCGCCGCGCCCAUCGCACGCCCUGCAAGCUUCUUCCUCCUCGCCUUCGAGGUGCUGGAGCCGUCCGCCGCCUUGUUUUUCUUCGCCGAUGUCUUGCCCUUCUUUGGCCGCGCCGCAUUGGGGAGCUUUGAGGAGGGGGUGGUGGCUCGGGCCGGCGCCGGCGCGACGCCACCCGCCACCGAGGUCAUCCGCGGCGGCAUGAAGAGGCCGCGCGCGAGGCCGAUGGUCGAAGGAGCUCCGGCGAAGGCGAGGCCAACGCCACCCGGGCUAGGGUUUGCGGCGGCGGCGGCGGCGGUGGAAGGGUCGCGGCUAUAGGAUGGGAUGAGCGGGGUGUCGGCGCGUGCGUCCAUGGGUGCAGUUCGCCGGCGCCGGCGCGCGCGGGGCGUAGGAGGCGGAGAAGAGAGAGUGCAGCGCGAGCGCUCGAGUGUGCCGCGCGCGGAAGCGGGCGCCCCAAAUACACCACACGAGAUAGCGAAUCCGACCGCGCGCCCAACUCCUUGUACCGCGCGCGCGGUUAUUGUGCGCCCGCUGGAGCCAUCCGCCGGGUUGCGCGCGCGCUAAACUGGCCAAAUUUGCGGCGCGGCGCUUGUUUAGCGCGGCUGUUGGAGAUGCUCUCAUACUUUCUCCGUGAUAGAGAUCAAAUUUAGUGAAAAGGAUGUGGAAUGAAAAGAUCAACUGCUUUGCGAUGUAGCACUUUUUUGCUAUCUGCUACAAAAGUAGACGAAAAUGGGUUAAAGAUAUUAAAGUAGGCAAAAAAAAAUUGACAAACAAGUAAUUCGUUGCAAUGUCAGACGCAUCAUAGGUAGCAGGUGCUCUGAAGUUUUCUAGAAACAAUAAAACUUCUCUGAACUAUUUAGUUAAAAAGAAAAGAGUAAAUAUGGAGGAAUCCACUCUUCAGGGCAUUAGUCACACAAAAUGCUUUUAGGAAUUUCAUCACAUAGCCGUAGUUAUAUAGGCAAGAUAUAUAUCGCACAAUCCAAAUUCUCUUUGCCAUCAAACUAAUCACAAAAACUGACAGGCCUGGGCCACAUGACAGCUCCCACACAGGCCACCCUCCUGCAAAUUAAAUAAGAUUUCUGUAUAAUUCCAAUCCAACUCAAUUAAUCUUUCCGCAUGCCAUGUGGGAGCUGCCAUGUAGCCAUGCCUGUUAUUUUUUUGUUGAUCGGGAAGAGAAGUUAUCUUAAAAUGUAACUGAAGAUAUUUUCAUGAAAACAGUGAAAAAUCUUAAUUUGUUUAUGUGCAUCUGUCUCACUUGAGUUAUCUUAAAAUCAAAGAGUACACAUGUUAUGAAGGUAAUAAUUUACAACAAGGAUAUAUGGUUUUUGCGCAUUAGUCUGACAGGGUUAAAAAAGAGUAUCACGGGAGUAGGAGAAGAACAUUGUCAUUAAGGAUAUAUAGGUAUGAAAGUACCUUGCACUUCGUACUUACAAGAUCUAUAGUUUCUCUGUACAGGGAAAACGAAAUGGGUACAAGUUGUGUCCAUGGACCAGGUUGUGUGCAUUCUAUCUUUUUAGUGAAAAAUGAACAGAGGUUCUUAAGAUCUAAGUUACAUGACUGCAGUACACCAAAAUCUACACAUUUGCCCUCUCAGAAAAAAAUCUACACAUUUGCAUUGUAAAGGAGCUGUAAAGUCACUGAAUCUUCAUACCAACUGGAGGAACUUUUUACCAAUGAUGUGGCAAGCAGAAGCCCCACUUUAACCUCUUUCUUAACUACUUCUUCUUUUUUUAAGAAAUACUGUAAGAACUUUAGUUCAGCAUGAGACGGUUAUCAUGGAAUUUCACAUGUAUAUAUACAUGAUAAGUUCUCCUUUUGCUUUCAUGAUUUUGUCAUUCCACCAAGGAGCUACCACUUGCGAAGAAAACCCAGUUCAGGAUACGAUGAUACGCUACGCCAUCACGACUCCGAUGGUGUUUUCAACAAAGAUGGGUGAAAAAGUUCCAAUGGAAACUGCUUUAAUCCUCUAUAUGGAUAUCAGGAUCCUAUGACACUUUCAAACUAUCCACAUUGUCGGUGACAGUUGCGCACAAACUUGAUAUUGGAAAAACUUCGUUGCGCGUGAAAGCCCCAACUUACCUCAUACUUUCUCUGUGAUAGGAACCAAGUUAGUGAAAGGAUGUAUAAUAAAAAGAAGAUCAAGUGUGUUGCGAUGUAGAACUUUUUUGUUAUCUGCUAUGAAAAAAUAGCAACAAAAGUAGACAAAAAUGUGUUACGCAGAUAUCAAAGUAGACAAAAAGUUAUUAGACAAUGCAAUGUCAAACGCAUCAUAGGUAGAUGCUCUGAAGUUUUCUAAAAACACAUCAUAGGUAAUUCUUUGCAGUGCCAUCUUACAACGUUUUUCUGCACCACCAACCGUUAGCAGCAAGUCUUCAUAUAAGCAAUAUCUUAUACAGACUGCGGUGAAGCAUAGAAGAUUCAGUGCAGUUCUACUGGAUAUCUUGCAAUACACCUCAGCAAACUUCAGGGAGGCUUUUUUAUUGAAAUGAACAGAGGUUCUUACUAUCCAACAUACAUGACUGCAACAUCUAGUGUUCUAGGAAGAUACAUACCCUCCUAUACAGCAGAAGUCAUACUCGGUGACGAUAUUACAAAGAUCAAACACAGGAGGGUCAUUCCUCUUGAUCAUGUCCUUCGUUCAGUGCCGGGAAGAUAGGUGGCCAGGUCAUCAUAACAGGAGAGAUAUGUAGGCGACCAGCAGCCAGAGUUGUAAACAAACUUAUCGGCUUCUGAUACACCUUCUCAACCACCCUGCUCCUGAGAUGAACAUAAAAGAGAAUGUCGCUUGCUGGAUGAUCCAAGAUUGCAAAGUCGGCAUUGUCCCCGACAAAAUCAACAGCAAUAAAAUUAAAAAGAGGCACCCGAUAAUGACCCACGAGACGUGUGCAUGUCUCAUGGACACAAAAUGUAUCCAC